rnacentral:lncRNA from 1 species
AAAAAAAAAAAGAAAAAAGAGCUAAGCCAUAAGGAGGGCAAAAUGAAAUUUUUUGAACCGUAGAAUGACAAAGUUAAAAAAAGCUACAUCAUAAUAGGCAAUUUGAAGCUUAAGAAAUUAAAAUAUUACAAAUGUUAGCCGUUAAAGUAAUUUUUUUAAGGAUAAACUUCAAAUACCACGCCUGUAGUUUCAUACUUUUUUAUUUUAGUACUCUAUGGUUUAAAGUGUAUAAAAUUAGUAUCCUGUGGUUUUAUUUUUAUUUUUUCGUCAGCUUUUUCGUUAAUAUUUCAUUAAAUUAUAUACAAAAAAAACUUCAGAUACCCCACCUAGGUUUAUCGAAUAUUCACUUUAGUACCCUUUAGUUUAAACUUUGUCACUAAUUUAACGAAAAAAAUUUGUGAAAUCGAUAAUAAAAAGAUAAAAAGAAAAACACAUGACACUAAAUUGAUACACUUUAAACCCCAAGACACUAAAAUUAAAAAGUGUGAAACCAUAUAGGUGAUAUUUGAAGUUGUCCCUUUUUUUAACUUCUAUUACAAUACAAUUUACUUUAUAAUUUUUUUUCAAAAAUAAAUAUAAUUUACUUUAUGUUCUCGGCUUUUUUUUUUUUUUAUUAUUUUGAACUUAAACUGUGGCUUCGGCCCUGUUGGAUACAUUUUGGCCUUAUUAUUUCAAGCACGUGAGAUGAGAAGGAUGUGUAUAGCGUGCGCUGAUAAUAAAUGUGUGUGGUUUCACUCCCACGAAUUGAGGUGAGAAUAAGUCAAAAUAAAGGACUGAUAAUUUCAAACUUUAGAGGCUUAUUAAUUAAAGUCGGUGAGUUUUAGCUAACAUGUAAUUUUCAGAAGAGACUAAGAGGCGCAAAUUUUGGGGGUUAACAUUGAAGAAUAAAUAACCGACCGUCCCUAGAGCAAGUGACAAAAGAGUUAGUGGUUGGUAUCCGAGACUCAAAUUCAAAUCCUAGUUGAUUCACAUUUUCAGCUAAGUUUAUUUCUAAAUGAAAUAAACGAAACGGAUAGCGUGCUACCUAUCUCUCUCAAAAAAAAAAAAAAAAAAAUGAAGAAUAAGAAUAGGAGAUGGACCAAAUGCGGAUUAUAGUAAAAACUUUCACUAGAGACCAGACAAAUCCUAAUUCGUCAUUACGUGUUACUUUUAUCUCUAUUCAAAGAUUAUAAUUUUUUACGGUAGAUUUAAAUUAUUCAAAACUAGCACGCAGUAAUAGAUCGAAGGAUCUUCAACGAGGUGUCGUUGGGGAGGCUCCCACUGAAGUUUUAUCACGGAGCAAUUCUACAUCUACAAUCAUUUUUUCAUUGUAAUCUUUAUCUGACGACUAAAAUUAUUCCGCUUGUCUUCUUCACUCCGCUCCUUUUUAAUAUUAAAAAUCUAAAAAUGGGUUAGCAUUUUUCUUAGGACUUGUUUGGUUCACUUACUUUAUACUAUAGAAUCGGAAUAAGAUUAAUUGAUUCUAAUAGUUGUUAUUUAUUUUCUAGGAACCAGAUUUCGAUUCUCAUUCUAUUUAUAGCACAACACGAUUUUAAAUCUCAGAUUGACCCGUUCCAAAAGAAACCACUCAAAACAGUUUCACACAAUUAUCUUCCUCUCCUCUUCCGUCAUCACUAACUAAAAUCCUAAAUAUUCGUCAGGAUUUUCUUUCUAAUAAUGAACCAAACAAUUUUGGCUGAUUCGUCAUUUCAGUUUUCAUUCCAAUACAAUCCAAUUCUAUUUCUCGUUAUUAUUCCAAUCAUAAACCAAACAUGCCCUUAUUGGUGUAUAUCAGGUAGAUUACAUUUUUGGUACUCAAGUUAUGAGGCAUGUGAUAGUUUGGCCCUCAAAUUUUAUUUUAUUAUAAUUUUUAAUUUGAACUUUUUAAACUAUUGUAAUUAAGUUUCAAAAUUCAAUUUAGUUAAUUAAAAAUUAAGGUAUUGCUAAUGUGAAAAUAAUGUGAUAUCCAAUUAUUACCACGUUGUCAAUCAUAACACUGUUACAACACUUCCAUAUCGACAUAUGUUAUACUUAAUUAACUAAAUUGAGUUGAGAGUUAGUUGCAAUAAUUUAAAAAAUUUGAACAAAAAAUUAUAAUAAAUGAGAGUUUGACAACUAAAGUAACACGCGUCUACCAGUUUGAAGACCAAAAGUAUUGUUUACCUAUAAAUAUUUGACUCCAGUUAGCUAAAAUAUAUAUCACAAAAAUUGUUAAUUUUGAAAUUUAAAUAUUAGGCAAAUAAUAUAAAAUCGUAAAAUAGGGAAUUUAAGAAUUGAAUAAUCUAAAUCAAGUUAUCGGUAUUGAUUAUCGAUUUGAAUGUCCCGUCGCUGAAAAACAAUCUGCAGAUAAACAUGCAACUUAAUUUAAUUCUAAAAGUAUACUAAUUUUGCUUUCCCUUUCUCAUAUAUUAUAUUCCAGCUAAUUAUUAUUCAAGAUAAAUUCCAGAGUCAAAUAUAUAAUUAUCAUUCACAAGGCAUAUGUAUUCUAGGGUAAACUUCAAAUACCUCCUUGUAGUUUUACACUUUCUCAUUUUAGUACGUUGUGGUUUAAAGUGUAUUAAGUUAGCCCAUGUGGUUUCACACUUUCUCACUUUAGUAUCCUAUGAUUUAAAGUGUAUCAAGUUAAUACCUUAUAGUUCAAAGUGUAUCAAGUUAAUACCAUACGGUUUUAUUUUUCUCUUUUUAUUAUCCAUUUCACUAAUUUUUUUCGUUAAAUCAGUGACAAAGUUAAAAUUAAAAAGUACUAAAGUGAGAAAGUGUGAAACCAAGGUAGGGUAUCUGAAGUUUUUUGUAUAUAAUUUAACAAAAUAUUAACAGAGGAGCCGAUGAAAAGAGAAAAAGGAAACCACAAGAUGCUAAANAAUACCUUAUAGUUCAAAGUGUAUCAAGUUAAUACCAUACGGUUUUAUUUUUUUUUAUAUAAUUUAACGAAAUAUUAACAGAGGAAAAAAAUUAGUGACAAAGUUAAAACUAAAGAGUACUAAAGUAAAUAUUCAAUAAAACAAGGUAGGGUAUCUGAAGUUUUUUGUAUAUAAUUUAACAAAAUAUUAACAGAGGAGCCGAUGAAAAGAGAAAAAGGAAACCACAAGAUGCUAAAUUGAUGCACUUUAAACCAAAUGGUACAAAAGUGAGAAAAUGCGAAAUCACCGGAUACUAAAUUGAUACACUUUAAACUAUAGAGUACUAAAGUAAAAAAAUACGAAACGAUAGGGGUGGUAUUUGAAGUUUUCCCUAUAUUCUAAUCCCUAAUUAUUAUUCAAGGCAUAUUCCAAAGUCACAUUUAUACUUUUCCACAUUUGCUCCAUCUCUUAUAAGACCAAAUAAAAAUUCUGAGUGUGUAUAAAUGAGUAUUUGUGUAAACUGUGGACCACCACAUCAGCUGUGGACCAUUUAUGGCAAUUUACCUUCUAGAUUGUUCGUCAGACUGACUUAUCUGUUUGGAUGAAAGUGGAGAAAGAAGAAGUUGUUUUCGAUCGUAAAUGGCUACUUUAUCUGUUUUAUUCGCCGUACACAUAAUAAAGAUAUAAUCGAAACUCCAGUUAUCCAACGUAGCAUAACUAAUUUCGAUCGCGGGUCCAUCUUAGACCUAAGUCAAUUACGACUUAAAAAAUAAAGAAAAAAUAAAAAAUAAUAUAAUUGGUAAUGCUAGCUAAAUUUAAAUGUAUUUGAUUAAUUUAGUUUACAUGCUUAAAAUGUGAUAAAAAUUGGUAAGUUAAGUUUUAAAAUCUCUUUCGUUUAGUUUGCACAUUUAAAUAUGAUGAAAAUUGAUUAGUUGAAUAUUAAUAUUUAUUUUGCUCCAUGAUUUUAUUAUUGCAUUAUUAUAAUUUAUGUAUAAAAAAUAAGUUAGUUGUUUUAGAUUAUAUUUUUUAAUUAUAUAGGGAUGUAAUUUUUUUUAUUAUAUUAGUUUACAUGCUUAAAAUGUGAUGGGAAUUAGUAAGUUGAGUUUUAAAAUCUCUUUUGUUGAGUUUGCACAUUUUAAAUAUGAUGAAAAUUGAUUAGUUGAAUAUUAAUAUUUAUUUUGCUCCAUGAUUUUAUUAUUACAUUAUUAUAAUUUAUGUAUAAAAAAAAUUAACUUAGUUGUUUUAAAUUAUAUUUUUUAAUUAUAUAGAAAUGUAAUUUUUUUAUUAUAUAAUAAUUUAUUAUUUAUCAAGUGAUUUAUAAUUUUUUAUAUUAUUCAUUUCUUGCCAAAUACAUAUCAAAAUUAGAAAAGCUUUGCUUUCAUAGCUACAAAACAAACAACGGGGAGAAAAUAAUUUUGUUCUAAACUUUUUUUCAACCAAAAAUUCAUUUUUUGUAAACAAAUAAACUCUAAAAAUGUGUUUGUUUCACUAAAAAUGGAGAGCGUAUAAAUUGGUUCUCCACCAUAAAUGAUUGUUCGGUUUACCGUAACAUCACCUUCAGUUAAAACUUGAACUCUUCAAAAUAUCGUAAUUGGCUUUGGUUCAUCCUAAACCGAAAUCAAUUACGAGAAAGUAGAGUGAGAUAAAAAUAAUAAAAUAUUAAUGAUAAAAAAUUUUAGUUUUUAUGUCAUUUACUUCCUAUCGAACAAAUAUCAGAAUCAGAAGCUUUAGUUCCACAGCUACAGCAACAAAAUAUGAAAGAGAAAUAAUUUUUAUCAGAACACUAAUUCAUCCGAAAGUCGACUUCAACCUGAACUUUACUUUUGAUAAAACAAAGAUGUCCUAUUAUUGUCGCCACUUUUUUUUUUUUAAAGAAAAAGAUUAUUGAAUUUGAAAAAAAUUUUCUAGAUGUGAAUAGCAUACAUAUAGGACAAAUAACUUUACACGCUAUAAAAAUUAGAAGGUGUGAGAACCAAACUCUGAAACUAUAUGGGUGAUACCUUUUAUAUAUGGACAAACUUCAAAUACCUUGUGGUUUCAUUUUUUUUCACUUUAGUACCCUAUGAUUUAAAGUGUAUCAAGUUAGUACCCUGUGGUUUUGCAUUUUUUCACUUUAGUACUUUGUGGUUUAAAAUGUAUCAAGUUAGUACCCUGUGAGUUUCGCCCAUUAUCACUUUAGUACUAUGUGGUUUCACACUUUAUCACUUUAGUAUCCUGUGAUUUGAAAACCACAUGGUACUAACUUGAUACAAAAAUUAAAACCACAGAAUACUAACUUGAUAUACUUUAAACCACAGAGUACAAAAGUGAUAAAGUGAGAAACCACAGGGUACUAACUUGAUACACUUUAAACCACAGGGUACUAAAAUAAAAAAAAGUGCAAAACCAUAAGGAGAGUUUUUGAAGUUUUUCCUUUAUAUAUUAUUUAUAAGUUGAAGUUUCAUUUCUCUAUUGAAAAAUUUUGGCUAAAAAUUCUAACAUUGCUGGUGAACAUAGAUAUUUGAAUAGUAGGGGUUCUUGCUUCUUUUUUCUUUUUUCUUUUUUUUUUCUUUUUUCUUUUUUUUUCUGAGUUUGUCCAUAGAUUCCUAACCCUGAGACACGAUUAUAAACCCAAUAUAAACACUACCUAAAAAGUCAGGGGUACAUAUCUGAAAUUUUCAUAAAAUUCACUUCAAAGUUCAAAAAUUUGACCACUUAUAUAACUGGUUAGGGCUACUAUACUGAGUGUAGACCCUUUUGUACUUAUAAAUUUUUAACCGUUGAAUAAAAAGAUGCGCGAUUAAGAUUAUAGUAAUUUAUGGUUAGGAGAAUAAAAGCCUCCUAGAGUUGAGUGGACGAUUAGUUGAAUAAUAUGAUCUAACGAAUAGAAAUGAUCUAACGAGUAGAAAUGAUCAAAGAGCUAGAUUUAACGGUCAAAAACUAAUGAGUACAAAGAGAUCUAUUCUCAAGAGUAUAGUAGCGGGAAUCUAUAUAACUACUUUAAAUUCAAAAACAACGGUUGCUGGAUUUGAAUACUUAAGUAAUAUUUAAUUUUUAUGCCCGAGUUAUAUUUAAUUUGGUUCGACAGAUCGUCCGUUCCAAUUCUUUAAAAGGCUAGUGACAUUUUUGUUCAUCAAACUAUGAAGCGCAUGACACUUUAGCUCUCAAACUUUAAUUAAUUAUAUUUUUUUAGUUCAAACUAUGAGACGUGAUAAUUUUGGUUCUUAAAUUUUCUGAAUUGUAAUUGUAUCUUACUUGAUAAUAUAAAGAGUAGUUACGAUGUUACAGCACUUCAAUAUUAGAAAAUUUUCAAUACUUAUUUUUUAAAAAAAUUGGUUGUGAGAUUUGAUUGCGACAAUUCAGACCAAACUAUCACAGGCCUUAUAAUUCGAGUCAGAAAUUACAACAAAUUAAAGUUUAAAAAUUAAAAUGUCACACGCGUGAUAGUUUGAGAACCAAAAGUAUAAUUUACCCUUAUUUAAACAUUGCUCUAAAGUAGUGGAAGCAGGGCCUAAAUUAGCUUAUUGUGCUAAGAGCAAUAAAAAAUACUUAUUAUACUUAACCUAUAUCAUGAUCAACUGAAUAAGUUAUUAUUUAAUAUUUUUAUUGUGUGUAUAUAUAGUUGCAAUAUUAUUGUCCACCUUUGUAGCACACAAACUUUAGUCAAACAUUUUCACCCACUUUGUUUACUAGUAUGUGAAUGUUGACAAUAUGAUACAGCAAAACACAUUAAUAGAGAAUUUUAGAAAAUUAUAUGUUGUUAUACAAAUGAAUCACCUAAUAUUUUUUUUAAUGAUAAUUGAAAGAAUUAUAUUAGAUAAUUAUAUGAUACCCAUUAUUUUUUUUGAUUGAUACAUUUUUUAACUUCUAUAUUUUUAUUUGAGUUUUUUCACUUAAUUAAGUUAAAACUUUUUUAAAAAAUUUAAAGCUCACAUAGUUAUUAGCAGGAUUUAUUUACUAUAAAGUAAUUAAAGUUGUUAAAUUUGAUAAAAUUAUCACUCAAUUCGCUAAAAUUCUCAAUUUAGUUGGUUAAAAUUAUUGAAUUUUAAAAAUCGAAUGUUAAGAUGACCUAAAUAAAAAAAAAAAAAAUUUAUAGUUGAGGGGGCUAUUCCCAAAUAAUCCCAUAGUAAAGCCUACAGGGCACCCUCCCCAGUUAAAUUUACUAAUUAAGCUCAUAAAAAAAAUAUAUACUUACUAAUUAAUGCAUCAUAUAUAUAAUAACUUACUUAAUAAUUAACUAACUAAUUAAUCAUUUAACUUAUUAAAUUAAUAAAUAUUUAAUUAAUUAGCUAAGUAAAUAAUUAAUUAUUUUAUUUAUGUGCUCAUCCACUAAGUAAUAUUCAUAUUAAUUAAAUAAGUAAUAUUUUGACUAAUAUAAUCUAAUUAAUUAAGUAAUUAUCAUAUUAAUUAAUUAAUAUACAAUUAUUUUUUAAUCAAUUAGCUAAUUAAUGUGCUUUUCUACUAUCUUGCACCAUACCAUAAUUAAAUAAUUAAUUAUCUUAAUAAAUUGUUAUUUUACUAAUUAUUUAAUGUUUGUUAACUAGAUAAAAUAUUGUUGGUUUAAAAUUCUAAUUACUUCUAAUUUGUUUGGGAUUGCGGAGAUUGGGUUACAUGAGGUAAGAAAGUACGAUAGAAAAAUAUCAUGUUUGUUUCUGUACAUAAUAUUACGUUCCGCAUAUUGCGAUUAGUCGGUUAUAAUAUAUUUUCUGCGGUCCCAUCGGAGAACAUAAAAGCAUAUUCCUAUAGUUUUUUUUAUAACCCCAUUUUAUCUAACAGCGUAAAAUAGAACUCAAUACCAAAGCUUUACUGUAUUAGCCAAACCAUCCAAACAUUCUUUUUCAAACACAAAAUUAGUUUAGUUUUUAUUUAUCCCAUAAAUUGUAUCUAUAUUAGAAAUUAGAAAUAAGGUAAAAACGCAUAAAACUUACUUCCAUUGUGAACCAUUUUGAAUCAGCUGUGCAACAUUUCGAAAUUUUGAUUUAACUAUCCAAUCGUUCAAUUUGUUUGAUCAGAGUCGGUCAACGAUAUUUUAACUUUAAAAUUUAAGCGAAUUACUUUAAUAAAUUUAUAAUUGCAAGAAUUAUAAGAAAUAUACUAAUUAAAUUUAUAAAAAUUAACAACAUCAUUUAAAUUUCAAAGUCAAAGCGCCGUUGACUAAUUCAAAUAAAACAAGUUGAAAGGUUGGCUAACAAACUUAAAAUUUUAAAAAGUUAGGUAGUCGAUUCAAAUAAUUCGUUAGUCAAAUAAGUGCUAUAUAUUUUUAAGUAAAAAUAAAUAAAUAAAUAUAUAUAAUUUUUCUGGACCAAAUGAUGAUACCUAUAAGGGUGCGUUUGGUUCUGAGUUAUCCUGUCAGAAUUACUGUAUUUGGUUCAUCCGCUAUAUAAUGUAGCAUUACAAAUCGAGCAGGAUUAUACCGAAAAUAUUAACGAGAGGGGGUCGUGUAUCUUGGAUUACUGAAAAUCGGUAAUACUAUAAAUUAUGUAAAAUAACAAUUUUACCCUCCAACACUCCCAAACCCAAUUAACAGCAUUGUUUUAAUCUCUCUCUCACGCGCUCCCCUCGCUCUCGCACGCCGCUAUCUUGCUCUCUCUCUCUCGCACGCUGCUCUGUCUCUCUCUCUAUCUCUUUCUCUCUCUCUCUCUCUCUCACGUCUUUUUUUUUUUUUUUUUUNAAAUGUUAGAAAAAAUUUCAUAUAUUUUUGUGCUCUAAUUAAUCAUUAAUCAUGUGUUAGUCUAAAAAUAAAAAAGCCUAGUUUAAUUUGUUGUGUGCAAAUGAUAAUUUUUUAUUUAAUUUAUUAUCAUUUAAUUUUAAUUUUAGUUUUUUAUUUAUAUUUUCUCUCGUCAAUUAAUAUUCAAAUGACCACAACAAGGGUAAUUUUAAAAAAAAAACUAUACUUUUAUGUCAGUAUACUAAAUUUUAUAGACUGAACGAAACGUAAUAAUGAUAUAAACACUGCAAUCUAAUAUUAUAUUACUGUAUUAAACCAAACGUGCUAAUGCAGCAUCAAUAGUAAUCUCACGCAAAAAUCUAAGAUACCUGAAUAUGUCGAGAUGCUCUUUAAUAUUACAUAAUUCGAACCAAACGCACUCUAAAAAUUGUAUGCAAAAUGUGGGAAAUAGAAACGUUAUAGUUUCCAGCUGUUUGCAAACAAAAAAGGCAACGUCGCGACUUUUAAAGCAGUGUAAACGGGACUACGGCAUAAUAGAUUCUCUUAUUAUUCUUUGAUUUGACCACCACUUAACUUUGCUUAAUGGAUAAUGUACCGGGAAUUUUAAAGCAUAAUAUUUAAGUAGGAUUAUGAUGCAAGUAAUUUGUUUAAUAUCUUUGUGAUUUAACCCGUUAAUUAUGAUUAGUAGAUAGAUAUUGAGUGAGCAAACCAAUCACAUUGUCUUUGUCAAGUAAAAUGAGAUAAGCCCAAGUACGGUUUUACGCGGUAGGUGUGGUUGGUGAUUUGGAUGCGAACAGGCCACGUGGACAAAUAUCUUGGUAGGUUUCAACCAUAUAAUAAUAAAAUAAAAUAAUUUGAAUUUGAAUAUAUAUCUUUGGGGAAACUCCUAAAACCCAAUCCAACCUCCCGUGGUUUCGUACUUUUUUAUUUAAGUACCUUAUGAUUUAAAGUGUAUCAAAUUAAUACUCUGUAGUUUCGCACUUUGUCACUUUAGUACCUUGUAAUUUAAAAUGUAUCAAGUUAGUACUCUGUAGUUUAUUUUUGUAUUAAGUUAGUAUCCUGUAGUUUUAUUUUUAUAUCAAAUUAGUACCCUGUGAUUUUUAAACUAUAUGGUACCAAAGUGAGAAAGUGCGAAACCACAGGGUACCAACUUAAUACACUUUAAACCACAGAGUGCUAAAGUGAAAAAGUGCAAAACCACAGAAUACUAAUUAACUUGAUACACUUUAAACCACAUGGUAUUAAAGUGAGAAAAAGUGAAACCAUAAAGUAGGUAUUUGAAGUUUUCUCUAUAUAAGAUAUAUAAUUAUUACGAUUAGUGCCUCUCCAGCUAAUAACUUAGAAUGUGUUUUCUUAUAUCGAAAUUGGACACAGAAUUCGUGGAUUUGUGUAACUCGAGAUGUGUGAGACAGUCGUCACGCAAUCGUCACGCACGAAGUCGAGUUUCGCAGAAUGGAUAAAACUCGCCGGCUUUUAUUUAUGAGAUGGAGACCAGUGUUACCGAAUAUAUAGAGUUGGAGCCGAGGGCGAAGGAAAAGCAAGCAAGCAAGCAUAGGCCUCCUAUUAUCAAAAUAAAGAUAUUUAAUAACAAUCUUAUUUGGAAUCACAAUUUUUUGGUAUUAUUAAAAAUAAGAAUUUAGUCUUUGCUGCUUAAAAGAUCUCGACAUGUAUAAUUAGUAGAAUAAAUAUAUUUGAGACUAAAAAAUAAUAUAGGUUUCUAAAUAUUCGAUCACAUUUCAAGAGUGAUUCUUAUGUAAAUUAAAUUGUCACGCUCCGGAUUACACGUUCCACGGGCACGCCGACAAAUCCGCCGUAUACAAAGGAAUUUUUUCUGUAUACGAAGCGACAACUGUAUCUGUAAACCAAAUAAUACCACAAACAGUAAUAUAGAGCUGCUAGAGUAAACAGAAGCUAAACAAACGGAGAUCCAUAUACAUAGCUCAAAAAUCAAAAUACAGAGCUACUCGCACUGGCGAGUUAAGUAUACUAUGUACAUGAACUCAAAAUAAAACAUCUACCUGCAGUAGGGUACCUUUAGCUCGGCACGUCGGAUAGUGCUCUAGCUCGUGACGCCAUUGCCUCGAUCCUGAUCUGCGAUAGCAGCAGCCGAUGACAAUGGCUCUGCAAAAAUAAUGUGUAACAAUAGGGCGUGAGAACUACUGUAAAAACAGGUAGUCCUCAGUGGGUGCCGCCCUAAACAACAUCGGUCCACCCACUAAGUCUACAGAAGGGAGCCAGGAUAAUAGUAAAUAUAGGAAUAAAAUCUACCGUUAUGAAUCACUACACUAUCAUGCUCUACACUAACCAACUGUAUGAAAUGUCAAAUCUGACCCAAUCCAAUCGGGACUGUAAGCAUACCCGUCCCUGCCCAGUUGUGACUAUCCAGCUACCUCCACACUAUUAGUUUGUGGAGAGCAAGUCCAACCGGUAUGAGCGACACCAACGCGAAAGUACAGCGCCCGUCUCCGGAGUGGCACUCGUGGGAGCUACCAAACCGAGUAUGCAGCGUAUCUCUGUCGAGCUCAAUCAGGCUCUCAAAAGCCAAAGUCCAGUAACCAACUCAAACUGGUCUAACAACCAACAGGUAACGUGCCCUCGGCACAAUUCGACGCCAAAAAGGCGAUAUGGGUCCACCGUCAACCCCGACGGCACCCAACAGUCCGGAAUAGCCUGAACGCUACUGUAAAAAUAUAAUCGGCAUCCCGGCACGAGUGUAACUGAAAGCUAAACUAUCUGGAAUACUCACUAUGAGGAUACUGUUACAGUAUGAAAUAAUACAACGGCCCCUAGGGCUAAAUCAGGUAGUUUAAAUAUAUGACGAUCAUAUUCGCGAGUUUUCUCCUAAGUUUUAUCCAAGUCCAACAUGUAUAUAUAUAUAUUCAAAGAUAAUAACUCAGCUCCAAUUCAGAUUAUUAACCAUACUAAAUCAAUGAACCGAGCAAUUGCGCCACACAAGAUAAUUCCACAAUUACAUGUUGACUAUAUAGGCACUUAGGAGUAAACCAAUGAUUAACGCACCUUAAUUGCAAAUCCCCGACGGUGAAGAAGGUCACCGGAGUCCCUGUCAAGCUCGGCGCAGCUCCCCGAACCAGCGACAACACGCUCCACGGGUCUAAACAUAGAAACCCAUAAUAAGCAUCAAUUCUGCCCAAAACAGCAGCAGCAGAAAGAAAUAGGGAUACGACCUAGCAAACCUUCACCAAAUACAGCAAAUAAGGGCUUCGUGGAUUCCUCUCGAAGUCCUGAAUCCAACGAACCAAGUCCUGUCGAAAUCCGACGUUCCUACGCCGAGUACGAGCUGAAACACUGACGGUCGACGCUGAAAAUCAGUAAAAUCAGCAUGCGAGCUCAAAACCGUGCGUUCAAGUAAUCCAAGAAGGAAAGUUAGGUACCCACAUCGACAGCAAAUCCAGCGCCGGUGCGACAUCGAGGACGGCGAAAACGCACCCUCGCCCGGCCUCCAUGUGACGCUACGGCAACAAACGUAUGCUCAAACGGCUCCGCGAUGCGACGUCGGCGACGAACGCUCCACCCAAGCUUCUCCUCCUCGCGUAUGGCUCCAGAGACAGAGAGGGAGGAAAUUUUAAUUAAGGAGGCAUGUACAACCCCCUAAUUAGAUAAGCAUGAAAUACAUGCAUGGAGGCACGUGGCAUUAUAUAUAUAUAUAUAUAUAUAUAUAUAUANAAUAAAAUAUUCAAACAUCCGAGCAUUAGCCUUAUCUCAUACCCAAAAAUUAAUUUGAAUGUUCAUUCCAAAACAUUUGUUCGCGAUAUUCAUUUACACUAGUAUAAAAUAAAACAACACAUUUGGUCUCCAACUCAUUUUAAUUUUUAAAAUAAGAUAAAUUAUCACAUAAAUAAAAUAUGUUAUCCUACCAAAUGCUGCAUGUCUUUUUAUUUUUAGGCCUUAUUUGAAUGUCGAAAUAAUUUAUCCAAUAAUUAUUUAUACAAUACAAAAAUUUUCUUACAUAAUUGAAAGGCACGAGUUUGAUUGUUGCUCUUUAAAAAAAAAAUUUAAAAAUUUUGAUUUAGUAGGAUAACAUAUUUUAUUUAUCAUAUUUUGAAAAAAAAGAGGAAAAAUUUUAAUGGCCGAAUAUGCUAUUCUAUUGAAGACAUUUAACACAUUCCUAACUUUCAAUCACAAAUCUUUACACGGAAUAAAAUAUCAUCGAAUAGCUUACACCGACAUGCAAAUAUAUACGCAUCCAAACUAAGCUUUAGCAUCUAUCAACUUUACAAAAAGAUAAAAGAAAAAAAAUUAAAAAAGAAGCGCCUAAGACCUAACUAAAUUUUUGGGCCUAAUCCUAACGAGUCAAUUGAAGUUUUAAAAACACAACAUAAGAAAAUACUUUGCUUCCAUCAAUUUUUUUAAAUCCCAUGAAUUUAAGCUUAGAUUAUUUGUCACAAAUCCAACUUUAGGACCCCUUUUUAGAUAUCGAAAUAAGUUAUACAAUAAAAACUUAUUCGCAAUAAGAUUUUCCUAUGUGACUAAAAAGUAAAGAAUUUAAAUUUUGCCCCUUCAGAGGUCUAAAUUUUUAUAAUUUAUUAAACAGCGUACUUCACUUACAAUGAACAAAUAAUUUAAAGACGAAUUCAAAGAAAUAUGCCGAACAAAAUAUCCAUGCAUCCAAAGAGAGAGUCUAUAUUGCGACUCGCAUAACAAAAAGCUUUGAAACAAAAAUAACGAUGCAUGGUCGACUAUCAAAAAUUAAUUGUUUAUAUAAUAAAUUUCAAAUUUUAAAACUACCGACGACAAAUAAACAAGCCAAAAUUUAACCGAAUUAGGCUUCGUUUGGAAUUGCGGCGAGAUUGCGUUACGUACCGUGAGAGAAAGUACGUUGAAAAAAUACCCUGUUUGUUUCGUACGAAAUAUUACGUUUCGCAUAUCGCGAUGAGUCGGUUACGAUAUAUACUCUGCGGUUCCACCGAAGAACGCAGAAGCAUAUCCCUAUAUGUUUUUUCCUCAACUCCAUUUUAUCUAAUAACGUUUGGUAGACCUCAAUACCAAACUAAACCUUAGUAGAAUCUGACUUAAAAAUUUUCUCAUCACAUUUUCGCAUUUCAAAGCAUUUUUAAUUAACAGGAAAGACUAUUGCAAAACCUUGCAGCGAAAUAACAUGAUCAAAACCCAGGAAAAGAGAGAACUUGAGACAGAAAACUUCAAAUAAAACCCGUGGUUUUGCACUUUUUUAUUUUAGUACGCUGUGGUUUAAAGUGUAUCUAGUUAGAAUCAUGUGGUUUCACACUUUCUCACUUUAGUACCCUGUAAUUUCAAGUGUAUCAAGUUAGUAUUUUGUGGUUUUAUUUUUGUACCAAGUUAAUACCCUGUAAUUUUAUUUUUGUAUCAAGUUAGUACCCUGUGAUUUUAUUUUUCUCCGAAUAAAAUAUUAAACCACAGGGUACUUAAGUGAGAAAGUGCGAAACCACAGGGUACUAACUUGAUGCACUGUAAACCACAGGGUACUAAAGUAAGAAAGUGCGAAACCAUAGAGUACUAACUUGAUACACUUUAAACCAUAGGGUACAAAAGUGAAAAAAAGUGAAACCACAAGAGGGGUUUUUGAAGUUUUCCCAACUUGAGAAUACUCUCAAAAAGUUGAAACUCUCUGAUUAUUAUAAUCUUUUUUCCUAUAAAAAGAAGCUAAUAUUUUUUGGAAGUAAGUUUUUUUAAAUAUAUUAUGGUAGUAAGUUUUUUAAAAUAUUUUAAAUAUAUUUAAGUAAGUUUUUUUAAAAAGAAGCUAAUAUAUUUGGGGACAGAGAGGCAGAUCAGAUUCAUCGAAUUUUGGUUAAUUUACAUCAACGAAUGAAUAGUGAUCAAUCAAUCUAUCAAUAUUCAAAUUAGCUCAAUAAAUAACAUCACCCAAAAAUUUAGCAGCAUCAGCAAAACAACUCUAAAGAGGACAAAUCCUGAAUAGAGAAGCCGAAAAGCGCAGAUAAAGCCAUGUGAAAAAGAAGUAAUCUGGUAAGAUACAAGUUAACUUGAGACUCAAUAAAACGAUUACCUGGCCUUGCUAUCCAAACAAGUCAGUCAAAAUAAUAGCAACUAAUCAUAUAUAUAUAUAUAUAUAUAUAUAUAUAUAUAUAUAUAUAUAUCAAAAAUGGCCAAAAAUUUUUCACACAACUCCCCCUCUAAUGUUCUCUCCACCCAAUGCAGUGGAUUAGAGAACAGAGAAAUAAUAAUUCUAAGAUCAAACCCUACGACUCGGACUCAUAAAAACGCUAUACUAUAAUGUUCCUGACAUAACAUCUAGUUCGCUAGACGACUACAAGUCAUUCUAGAUUAGUUUUUAAAUUUAAAUUUGUAAAUGUUCUCUCCACUCAAUGCAGUGGAUUAGAGAACAGAGAAAUAAUAAUGCUAAGGUGAACCCUGCGACACGACUCUUCGCAUGACGCUACGGUAUAAUGUUCCUGACAAAACAUCUAACUCGCUAGAAGACCCUUCAACAACUAAAAGUCAUUUUAGAUUAGUUUUUAAAUUUAAAUUUGUAAGCAGCACCGCCUUAACCUUUCGCUUUGGUUAUUCGCAUACUUAUGUAUGUUCGAAGUGGAUAAAGCUAAGGGGGUGCUGAUCAAAAGUAAACUAAAAACCGACUAUAUAUGCACUAAAAUGACUUAUAGUAGUAGGGAACACUUGUAUACCUAAUAUUUACUCGUGUUUGUCUCUUUUUUCAAUUAUCCAGAAAAAAAAGAAGAAAAAUAGAUAUUUACUGCACAGUUUCUUCGCAUUUAUUGACCAGGAGCAGGUAUUGCCUGGUCCGGAGGGUCGUGGACAACAACACUCUUACGCAUCUUGUCCUCCUGCAGCUGUAAAAACAUUAUUGAUCAAUCACUAAAAUAUGCCAAUCAUAGAAAAAAUCACAGAACCAAUCACUCCAAAAAAAGGGUUAAUUUCAUUUAUGUCCCUGCAAACAUAGUAAAUAGCAAAUAUAUCCCUAUAAAAUUCAACUUUUAUAUGUUGUCCCUGCAAAAGUCCUGAUGUUUUCAAAUAUCUCUGCCGUUAAAAUCCGUUAGAAAAGUAAGUUAACCAUAGGUUAAAUGCUUAGCCCUAGUUAGUUUUUGAUAUUUUUAUCCCUUUAUAUUAUACUAGUAUGGCUUUUGGAGGAAUAUAUUUGUGAUGACAAAAUUGAAAAUAUAAACAGUUCUCUAAUGUAACAAUCAGAAGGACAUAUUUGAAAACAUUAGGACUUUCGUAGGGACAACAUAUGAAAGUUGAAUUUUGUAGGGAUAUACUUGUCAUUUUGCUGGGACAUGUAUGAAAUUAACCCAAAAAAAAAAAAAAAAGCCAAUUGUUACUCUUAGGGUCUAUGGAAUACUCAAAUUGCAGAAGUAUAGGAGAAGAAUAAGCUUAGUGGAUUAAGGCAUAAAUUUGUUUCUUCUGUAAACGUAAAGACAUAGAUUGUCACUAAAUAGGUUAACAGGAUGAAGUUCUCCACGAAAGAUAAAUGCAAAUCCUGUCGCACUGUACUAAUUUAAUGAAACAACCGGACAAGAAAAAUAGAUACUUGUCACUUACCUGGAUCUCAACAUGAUUCGAGGUCACUAGCGCUUCCCGUAAGAGCUGGAACACAUCUAAAUUUUUCGUCAACUGUUUAACCUGUAAUACACAUGAAGCAAAAUGUAUUCCAUCAUAAAUUACCUGUUUAUGUUAGCUUUAGAUAUGACAUAAAGCUUGCUAAAAUAAUCUAUAUAUAUCUACCUUAAUAUUGAAUAUCUUUAUUAAGUUCAGAAGGAUUGCAAUUAAGAUAAACUGGGUAUUCAAUAAGCGGUGCUCGGAAAGACAGGUUGGGAAGCAAAAGCACCCAAAUCUAAGAUUAAGAACAUUCUGAAUUUUUUUCAGACAUGCCUAGGGAUUGAAUUCACUUAUACAUAAUAGCGCCCCCAAUCACUGCUUAGUAAUUAUAAAUAAGUUAUCUUAGUUUGCCACUUCCCUUAAGUGCAAGUUAGUUUUCUUGGUUAUUGACACAGGACAUUGGCUUUAUUAACUUUAAAAAAAAAAGGAGAAUUAUUAACUUGCAAACUGUUAAUGCACAGUGAUAAAAUAAUGUUUCUAGCCACUUGUAGUCACAACUUUGGAAUUUGUGGGUAAAUCAAAAAAGUUUGAAAUUGGCACAAAAUCAAAUGAAUUUGGCAUUCAGGAAUGAUUCAUCAAUAAACAGUUAGAAAAACUGUAGAAAUACAGAAAAUAUGUAAAAGUAAUCAACAGGAUGUUUCUUUUAAUCUACAUAAUAUAAUGAACAGUUCCUGUGGCAACGGGUGACUCGUAAGAUUCUUGGAGUCUUGACUUAUUUGAGUAAUGGAUAGAUGAAGUAUCACGUAGUCCUUUUACCAUGUAAUUUGAGAAAUACUUCGCCAACAAUAGAUCCUACAAUUAUUCAUAAAAUUUCAAAAAAGUGCAAAGAUGUUCAACGAACUUACUUUCCGGAAUUCUGCAAUUUCUCUCACGGUUACCCAUCCUUCACUAUCCAUUAUUGACUUCAAGUACCAAUCGUCGACCAAGUUUUCAUCACUAAACAUAAACAGAAAAGCAUCCGCGAUCAAAAGGAGUUAACAAUUAGAAGCUAAAGGAAACCAAGAGAUGGCUAAAUACAAACAUAAUUUGUGAAAUUUGACCUUGAUUUCAAUUUCCUACCCAUACAAUUAGAUUUAGUCUCCGAAGUUUUCCUGCAUAACAUUAAACUUUUUUGCUAUCUAUUAUCUAAAAAGUAGACUUUAACAUGACAGUGAAACAUUGGAAUAAUAACUAUAUAGGGAGCCAACUCACGGAAAGGUGGUCACCGUCCAUCACUACAUAAAUAUUCAUGCAUUGAAUGUGAUGAACGGUUGUGAUUAGACCAUCUGUUCAUGCUCCCCAAGUAACUUCUUUCUAGACAUUGCAUUGCUAAAUUUGAAGCAUGAAGAAGCGAAAUCGAAGCCUGGAUCAAACUUCAGGGAUUAAAUUGCGUAAAAUGAAACUUUGAGGAUGAAACUAAAGUCAAGUCAUGCUUCAGAGAAUAAUUUUAUAAAAAACUCUACGGUAAAUUGAAAUGUGGAUCAAACUUCAGGGACUACAUUUGUAAGUAAACCCCCAAAAGAACUAAGGUUAAGUGGAAUCUGCAAGAACUAACCUGAAGUAAUACUCUACUUGACGGCGCAGCUUUCUGAGUAGUUCUGGGUGAUCAACGAUCUCAACUUUGCCGUCAAUAACAAUCACAUACUUUUGAACUGGCUCGGAAUUAACUGGAGUCGGCGGAGUUUCGAGGUUAUUUAUAGGAAAGUUGUUACUAUAACCACUUGCUUCUGUAAAGUAAACAGCACCAUAGUCACAAGUUCAGGAUUUUAAAUCGAAAAGAACUGAUAAAUUCUAAAUGUAGCAAACAACUCGCAAUUUAAAAAGAAGAAGUAAUUCAGAUAGUAAAAUAUAAUUAUUGAAACAUCAAAAUACACAAAAAACAGAGUUUCCUGCAUAAUUAUGUUAUUUAAUUCUGUGUUCGACGGAGCAUAGAAAAGUAAAAGACGCAAUGAAUGAUUUCUUUCGGCUAUAAAUACUCACAAACUUACUAAAUAUUUGGAAUAAUGCGUAGAGUAUUCAAAGCUUCCCGUUGUUUCCUUCGAAUAUUCAUGGACCAGCAAAUAAAUAACUCAUGAUUUCCCAAGAAAACAAAACGAUAUUGUUUUGUAACUACAAUCAAAACCUAAUGCAACAGAAUCUUUUUAUCUCUCAAGAUGUUAGAUGCAAAAUAAAACAAAAGAACAGAAAUAAGAGAGGAAACAGAGCGAUCGCUAAUUAAAAUUUUACUCACCUGGAUUGAAGGGAGCGCCAAAGGGAUCCAAAGGCGGGAAGGGCGCGGCAAAGUUGGCGCCGAAAGGAGGAAUCCGGUGGCGGUGAUCGAACAUCAGCGGGGGCGCGGGGAGGCUGAAGUGGGGCCCGAACGGCACGGGCGGGGGCAACCUGUGCCCUAGGGCGAACGCGUGCGGCAGCGGCGGGGGCGGCGGCGGCGGCGGCNCCCGAUUGAGCGGGGAGAAGUAGCCGCCGCCGCCGCCGCCGCCGCCGCCGUAGCCAUUGCUUGCGAAUCCGCUGUAGGGGUCGAAGAAGGGGCCGGCGCAGGGAACCCUCCAGUGUGGCGGCAGCGGCGGCGGAGAGCGACCGUCGAACCUUGGGCGGCGCGCGUGGCCGGAGAGCAACUGCUGCGCCGGGCGCCGCGGCGGCGACGUGGCCAUCUCAUGCGCCGGAGCCACGGCGGUGGAGGAGGCGGCGGCGGCGGGGGUAGUCGGCGUCGACAUAGCUCCCGGAAGACCAAAGAAACCCUAGUAGACGAAACGAAAACCCCAGAAACCCUAACCAAGGCUCAGAAAAACCCUAGGAAGCCCUAUAAGACACUAGAAACCCUAACCAAGUCUCGUGAGGAGAACGACGGAGGGGAACGAGAAGAGAAAGAGAGAGAGAGAGAGAGAGAUAGAGAGAGGGAUUAUUCGAUUUUUUUUGUAUAAAAAAAUUUGAGAUAAGAUUUUAUUUAAAAAUAAAUUGAUGAAUAAUAAUGCGUAUUUAUGAAGAGAGAAUGCGGAGUAGUCGGAAAAAGAUUGCCGCGUCGCGCCUCCGUGAGAAUUAAUCGGCGAUUAGGCGCUUCCCCCUCCCGAUUAAUACUCGUAGUAGGAGGAGGAAUCGCCAACCAUGCAAUAUAUAUUCAUAUUAAACCGGUAUUUUUUCAUUAAAAGAAAAAAAGGUAAAUUUCAAAUACCCCCCUGUCGUUUCGUAUCUUCUCACUUUAGUAUCAUGUGGUUUAAAGUAUAUCAAGUUAGCCCCUGUAGUUUCGCACUUUCUCACUUUAGUGUCCUGUAGUUUAAAGUGUGUCAAGUUAGUAUCUUGCUGUGAUUUUAUUUUUAUCUUUUUAUUAUCUAUUUUAUUAAUUUUUUUCGUUACGACAGAGUUAAAAUUAAAGGGUAAUAAAGUGAAUAUAUUCGAUUCGAUAAACCUAGGUAGGGUAUAUGAAGAUUUUUGUAUAUAAUUUAACGAAAUAUUAACAGACGAAAAAAAAAAUCAAUGACAAAGUUAAAACUAAAGAGUACUAAAAUAAAUAUUCAAUAAAUCUAAGUAGGGUAUAUGAGUUUUUUUAUAUAUAAUUUAACGAAAGAUUAACAGAGAAGCCGAGAAAAAAAAAUGAAACUAAAGUGUACUACAUUAAUGCACUUUAAAUCACAAAGUACUAAAGUAAGAAAGUACGAAACCAUAGUAUAGGGUACUCAAUUGAUACACUUUAAACUGCAAGAUACUAAAGUGAAAAAGUGAGAAACGCAUGGUGUUAUUUGAAGAACUAGUUAUAACGAAGAACUAGGUAUACCGGGGAUAGGUACAAGUAUGGAUUUUUAUAAGAAUAAGGGUAUUUUUUUGUUUGAAUGAAAAAAUUUGAGUACAAGCUAGAACUAGAAAAAUUAUGUUUGGAUGGUUAUUGAAAAUAAGAGAAAUAGUUGAUGAUUAUAAAUAAAAAAUAAUAAUAUUACCCCUCUCAUUAUAUUUGAAUUUAAAUUUUUAAUUUUUGAAUUUAAAUUUUUAAAUUUAAAAUUUAAAAUUAUAACUUUUAAAAUUGUUCCCACCCACUUAAUGGUGUUUGGGUACAAGAGGGGGGAUAACCCCUUGUCCCCCCUCUUGUACCCAAUCCAAACACUCCCUGAUUUCUCAAAGAAAAAAAGAGUUCGACCCGUAAUUUUCGAAACUGAACCGGUUAGGUUAGAUCCGGUUUUUUUACCCUUUCUUUCGUUUUUCUGUUUUUGGUUUUUUCGAGAGAAAAGUAUAUAAGCAUGUUUAGUUUAUUUCUAGAAAUAAACUUUUUAAAACUAAGAUUUUUUUAAAAAACAAAAUUUGUUGUUGUGUAGUUGAAGAUAUGUAUUGAUCGCAAAUUUAUACUAGCACGGUGAAAAAUUGUGUUAUUUUGAUAGUUAUAAGAUGUAUCAUUAGUUUGUUUUAUAGAAAAAAUUUUUGGAUUAAGCAUGCAAUUGGAUCCGGAUUAAUGGAAUUCCUGUUCCGAUCCAUACUGAAUGGAAUGAUAAUUGGGGACGAAAAAUAAGCAAAAAAAAAAAAAAGGAAAAAGUUCAAAUACCACUCCUGUGGUUUCGCAAUUUCUCACUUUAGUACCCUGCAUUAUAAUGUUUAUCACUUUCGUACCAUGUGAUUUUAUUUUUUUAUUUUUUGUUAUCUCCUUCACUAAUUUUUUUUAUUAAAUCGAGUGACAAAGUUAAAACUAAAGGGUACUUCGAUAAACUAUAAAUGGGGUAUUUGAAGUUUUUGUACAUAAUUUAAUAAAAAGUUAACUGAGGGCUGACGAAAAGAGAAAAAUAAAAUCAUAUAGUACUAAAUUGAUACACUUUAAACCAUAGGGUACUAAAUUGAUACACUGGAAUACUAUUGCUAGCAAACGGGCUCCGUUGCCACUCAUUUGUUUUCGAUGAUGGAGCCUCCAAAUUAACGAUCGGCACCAUUGAACAUGAUCUAUACUACUUUGAGUAUUUAGAAAUCAAAUUUUAUGAUUUUUCGCUAUUGUUCUCUUAAUCAUCAAGUAGACGUAAAAAUGAACGGCUGAAAAUAAAUAUCCUCUAAAAAAUGAUGAUAGGAAUUUUCUAAUCAAGAUCGAGAGUAUAGAUUUUGUUCUAAAUAGUUUAAAGAAUUUCUAUUUGAAUAGCUUUACACCGUUAAACAAGAAAAUGCCUCAUAUCUACCAUUAAAAUUACAAAAUUUGAAACCAUUUGAUUAUUAGGUCAAUAAUGUCAAAAAGAUUUGAAAUUUGAUUUCUAGAUGCUUCAAGUGGUAUACAUUAUGUUCAACAGUGCCGAUCGUCAAUUUAAAGGCUUUAUCAUCGAAAACAAAUAAAUGGCAACGGAGCCCGUUUGCUACUAAUAGCAUUCCAGCUCAUCUCUCUCUCUCUCUCUCUCUCUAUAUAUAUAUAUAUAUAAUGUAAAAUAAUUUCAGGUUUGGCUGGAGCUUGGGUUCGGGUUCGACUCGGGCUCGAGUUCGGGUUCGGGUGCAAUCAAAAUUCAUACCUGAAUUCAAAUCCGUCGGAUUUUUAUUUUUGAUAUGCAUAUCCGAAACUAUAUCUAUUUAGUAUCAGAUAAAUCUACUCCAUUGGAUUCAAGUUCGGAUAAAAUUUUAGAUAUCUGUAUCAUUGACAUCCCUAGAAAUGGUUGAACGAGAAAAGAGACUAUAUCAUAUAAUAUUUUAUUUUAUUUUUAUUUAUCAUAAUAAUAUAUUUAAAGGCAAAUUAUAUGCCACUCAGAUCAAUUGACAUUUAUCUAUAAUUCAGAUCAUUGUAAUUGCAUUUUAAAAAUUAUUACUAAACAAAUUAUAUUAUUUUUGCUAAACUGAUCUCACCUAAUUUAAUAUAAAAGAUUUUCUAUAGUAAGUAAUGCUAUUUGUACAGCAAGAAUUAGAGAUGUAGAUUGAACCAGAUUGGUGGACCCUCUGUUUCGAUCCACUUCAAAUGAGGCCGUAAUUAAGUGAGAAUAAAAAAUAUAAAAAAGUGUAGCUUGUUUCGAAUCUGUCCGAUUCGCCAAGUAGAUGGAGCGAGAGGCGAGAGACCCUUGCUUACUGCUAUAAAUUCAUCAAAAACCCUCUCCUACCCCGAUCCACCCGAAUGGAUUCACAAGUGAGAGUAAAAAAUAUGAUUAAAAUUAGGCUAAAAUAUAAAAAAAUUCUUAUAAAUACCCACUUUUUACUAUUUCUUUUUUACUUUUAAAAUCUAUUUUUUGUACUCUAAAAAUUUUAAAAAUAUUUUUAGGAAAGUAUGACUUUAAUGGAGAAGGCAAAAUGACUAAAUUAUCCUUAUUUUUUUUAUAACAAAAAAUAAUUUUUUAAUAUAUUGCUGUAAUUUUGAAUUUUUUAAUAUAUUGUUGUAAUUUUGAAGGGCAUUUUCGGUAUAAAUUAUAAAAAAUAAACGGAAUAGUAAUAGAACCCUAAUAUAGGAGGGCCAAAUGUAACAACUUGAAAUGUUAAAAAGAUAAAAUAUAGAAUUUUGAAAGUUAAAAAAAAAUAAAAAAUAAGUACUUAUAAGGAGAUUUUCUGUAAUUUAGCCUUAAAUUAACCCGUCAUGAAUCUGUCCCGACCCAACAUGAAAUGGAGCGGGAGGUGGAAGACAGCUCCCUCCUUUGGAUCCGCUCCGUUUGCAUCCCUAUCUAAGAUGUAGGUGUUAAUCUUAUAUCUUAGCCUCUUGAUGAUCAGAAUGUCCUCACUUAUUUUAUCAAUUUUUGUAUUAAAAAUUUUACAGAAUUGUCUAAAUCCUAAGAAAUAUUUUCUAUAUAACAGAUAAUACCCAUUAAUACAUGCAAAGAAUUCAAAAUAUGAUAAAUCAUGAAAUAUAACAAAUAAUUUGAAAAUAUAAUAAUUAAUUAAUUUAUGUAAAGAUGCUUUAAUUAGUUAAUUAAUUUACAAAGAACUCAUUAUGUUUGGUAUUGUUUUAUUUAUCCAAGGGUUGUAGUCCUACUCCUAAGAUUUAUACAAAUUUUUUUAGGCCAAUUUGCAUAAAAAAUUCAUAAAUUUUGAGCUUUUACAAAACUGGGCCACCUUUUUUGAUUUUACAGAUUCGGUCCGAAUUUUCAACAAACUGACAAAAAUACCUUUAUUACUUUUUCUCUCUCUUCUUUCUCUCUCCUCUUAUUUUCUCUUGUUCAUUUUUUUUCUUUCACCGAAGAAAGCAGCGGAGGCAGAGGCAGAGGCAGAGGCGGAAACGGCCCGCCUCGCCUCUCACCCUCAUGCUCUCGCCCUCGCCCGCGCACCCCCCACCUUCCUCGCCUCCGACCCCACCGUGGCCGCGCCGCAACACUCUUUUUUUUUUUCCUCUCCGACUCUUCUCCACCGUCUCUGACAACGACGCCUCUCUUGCCCUUCCCCGCCCUUCUUGUCCUCCCCUUCUCCCUCCUCCAAAGCCGCCUCCAACGACGACGCAUCUUCGCCGACGACGACACCGUAGAGGUCGCUGCAGCGCUGCAGCCUCAGAGCGGGGGGUUUUUAGCGGCGUCGUCACCGGCGCCGUGGCCGUUGGCAGAGAGGGGUGACUAAAAAAAAUUAUAGAAGAAGCAAGAAAAAAAAAUAAAGAUAAAAAAUUAUAGGAAAAAAGAUAUGAAGAUGAAAUUGCACCGUUAAAAAAAAAAUUGUACUGUUUUAAAAGAACGUUGCACUAUUAUGGACAUAAGUUGUAUUACUUAAGGUGUAAACUGCAGAUCUAAGAUGAAAAUUACACUCUUUAAACGAAAAUUGCACUCUUUGAGAGAUAUUUACACUAUUUUUUUUCUUAUUGCACUCUUUUAGAUAUAAACUGCAUCCAUUAAGAUAAAAAUUACACUCUUUAAAUGAAAGUUGCACUUUUUGAGAGAUAUUUACACUGUUUUCCUCUUCUUACAUCCUUUGAGAUGUAAACUGUAUCUCUUUAAGAGAUAUUUAUACUGUUUCUCUUCUUGUUGCACUGUUUUUCCUCUUGUUGCACUAUUUUUCUUCUUGUUAUACUGUUUCUCCUCUUAAAGGGUGUAGUUUAAGAGAAAAAACAAUGGCCAACUUUUGCAAAAGCGCGAAACUAGUGGAUUUUUUAUGAAAUUGGCCAUUUUUUUAAGAUUUUAAUAUUAAAAAAAAUUAUGACUAGUGAGAAAAACUUUGAACCUUAGAUAGGCAAGUUGAAAGAAAAACUUUAUAAUUUCUCACCAGUCAUAUCACUCUCUUUUGUUUUAAUAUUUAAGGCUAAAAUAUAGAAAAUUCUUCUGUAAAUACUACUUUUUCACUUUUAUUCCUUAACUUUUAAAAACCUAUAUUUUACCCUCUCAAAAUUUUAAAUUGAUACAUUUAGCCCCCCUUCGUUAGUGUUCCGUUACUAUUCUAUCUAUUUCUUAUAAUUUUUACCUAAAAUUUUCUUAAAAUAACAAAAAACAUUAAAAACUAUUUUUUAAAGAACAAGUAAGGACAACAUAAUUCUCUGAAAAUAUUUUCGAAAUUCUAAGAUAUUAAAUGUAGGUUUUUGAAAGUAAAAAAAAAAAAGUGAAAAAAAUAAAUAUUCACACAAAAAUUUUCUAUAUUUUAACCAUAUUAAAAUUCAAAAGGAAUCAUAUAAAUUCUAGGGAUAGCAUUACAACCCUCGAAUUGACAUUGUAAUCCUAUCCAAAAAAUUUUCUAUAUUUUAGCUAUAUUAAAAUUCAAAAAUAAUUAAAAAUAAAUUCUAGGGACAGGAUUACAACUCUUGGAUUUUCAAAAAUCUAAAUCCAAACCCGACUAUAAAAUCCAAAAUUCAAACCCAAACCCGACUCCAACGGAUUUUAAAAAUCCAUUUCCAAACCUAAAUCUGACAAAAAAAAUUCGAAAUCUAAAUUUGAACUCAAAAACCCUAACCCAAAAUAAUUAUUUCUUUUUAUCAUAUUUCAAAACAUAUUACAUUAAAUCUAAAUUUUUAAAUACAAAUUAAAAUAUAAUAUCAAACAUUCACAUAUAUUAUAUAAUGUAAAAUCAAUUUGUGUUUGGAUCGGAUUCGGGUCUGGAAAAGACAAAAUUCAUGUCCGAAUCUAAAUUCAUCGAGAUUUUUUUUUUUAUACCGAUAUCAGAAACUAUAUCCAUUUAGUAUCUGUCUGCCAUCACGAAUGACGUAUCUCGCACGGUCGAUGGGUUUUGCCGUGGGGUUGUAUUCAUGAUUCAGAUUAGUAUUUGUAUCAAGUAUUGCAGGUCCAUGGUUUCCAAUAGAUGUAAGCAUCUAUUGUUAAUUACCCCCGUGGCAUUGGGGCACCUUCGAUUAAGAGACCUUUGUAAAUAUGAGAUUGAAUGAAUCGUAUCUUGGUUUAUUGAAUCCUAAGUAUAUGUAUUGGGAUUCAGUUGGAUUUGAGAUUGACUAGGUCCUAAAUAUAUGUGUUAAGACCUAUUCGAUAUUAAACUCUAUAUAUUAUAGUCUAAUUGGCUCUAAGUAUAUGUCUUAGAGUCCGAUUAUAUUCACCUUGGUUGUAUAUUCCAAGAUGGAGAUGUGACCAUACCCCAAAUAUAUGUAUUGAGGUAGGUCGGAUUUGAUAUUACCCAAAAGUAGAGAGUGGCUUAUUCCUGAAUGUAUGUAUCAGGAAUAGCCGAGUUUAAUAUAUUUUUUACUCUAGUUAUAUGUGCUAAAGUGAGGAUCUGACUAAGCCCGAAGGUAUUGCGUUAGAAUUUGUCGGAUUUGAUUUGCAUGAGCUCUAAGUAUAUGUAUUAGAGCUCAAUCGGCAUAGAUUUCACUCUAGGUAGAUGUGCUAGAGCAAAAUGGCUGACUAGACCCUAAGGGCAUGUUUGUUUGGUGUAAGUGGAGUGAUGGAACUCAAGUUCCAUCACUUCCGUUAUUUGUUUUGGUGUAAGUGAAAAAUAUAAUGUAACUCAAGUUACGUAAGACCUCCACUUUACCUACUCUCGACUUCCUCCUCUAAAGUGCCAAACUCGACUUCCACCACACUCAACCUCCUCUAAAAUAUUUAUUAAACAGUAAAACCUAAACUCUACUUUCCUUAUAAUAGAUUAGAAUUACCUUAUUUAUAAUAAAUUAGGAUUAUCUUUAAAUAAUAAUAAAAAAAUCAAUUAUAUAAUAAGUUAAAUUUUAUAGCGGUAAAUUUACUAUUAUAUUUAGGAGAUAAUGGUAUCCACUUACUUACAUCAAAACAAACAACGGAACUCACAAAACUAAUUUCACCAGCACCAAGUUACAUCAAAACAAACAUAAGAAGUAAUUGAAUUUAACUUUCAGGCUAUACAAGUUACAUCAAAACAAACAACCAAAAAAUAAUCAGACUUCAGGAAAACUCAAACACCACUGCACUUGACUUACGUUGGAUCUACAGAUUCGUCAAUCCAAACAGACCCUUUAAGUGUAUGUGUUAGAACUAGUCGAACUUGAUUUGACUUCCACUCUAGGUAUUAGUGCUAGAGCAAAAGGGUGACUAGACCCUAAGGAUAUGUGUUAGGGUUAGUCAGAUGAACUCUAAGUAUAUGCAUUAAAUUUCGAAUAAAUUUGAUAUCAUUUGACUGAAUUCUAAGUAUAUAACUUAGAACUCUGUCGAUUUGGAGAUAUUUUGCCUUAGUUAUAUGUGUUAAGCCGAUUGACUUAGCCCUAAGUAUAUGUAUUAGGGGUAGUCGAUAUUUAAUUUUUACUCUAGGUAUAUGUGCUAGACUAAAAAAAAAGGUUCAUGAUGAACUUUGGGUAUGAUUUAGUUCAUAUAUGGUUAAUGAGAUUUGGGUAUUGGUUCAUGAGAUUUGGUAUAUGGCACAUUAGGGUUUGGUGCAUGGUUCAUGAGAUUUCGUUCAUGAACUUGGAUAUGAUUCAUGGAUUUGAUGUAUGAAUUUAGUUUAUGGACUUGGUUCAUGAUUCAUGAACUUGGUUCAUUUGGUUCAUAAACUUGGUUUAUGGUUCAUAAGGUUGGGUAUGUAGGAUUUGGUUCAUGAACUUAGAUUUGGUUCAUGGAUUUGGUAUAUGAACUUGGUUUAUGGACUUGGUUCUUGGUUCAUGGUUCAUGAACUUGAUUCAUUUGGUUCAUGAACUUGGUUUAUGGACUUAUUUCAUGGUUCAUGAGCUUGGUUCAUUUGGCUUAUAAACUUGGUUCGUGGUUCAUGAGAUUAGGUAUGUGGGAUUUAGUUCGUGGUUGAGUGCAUGGGUCAUGAACUUGGGUACGGUUCAUAAGAUUUGGUGUAUGGUUCAUAAGCUUUGUUCAUUUGGUUUAUGAACUUGGUGUAUGGAUCAUGAGAUUUGGUGUAUGGUUCAUGAUAUUUGGUGUGGUUCAUGAGAUAUGGUUCAUGGUUCAUAAAAUUUGGUUCAGGAACUUGGUAUAUGGCUCACGAGAUUUGGUUUAUGAUUCAUGAAAUUUGGUUCAUGAAUUUGGUAUUUGGCUCACGAGAUUUGGUUCAUGAUAUUUGGUGUGGCUCAUGAGAUAUGGUUCAUGGUUCAUGAAAUUUGGUUCAUGAAUUUGGUGUAUGAUUUAUGACAUUUGCUCCAUAAUUCAUGAUAUUUAGGUAUGGAAUUUGGUUCAUGAUCCAUGUAAUCUGGUUCAUAAAAUUUGGUUCAUGAGUCCAUAUUUGAGGUAGGGUUUGGGUUUGGUUGGAUUAGGCUUUUAUGAUGGAUUCAAUUGGGUUUGGAUUUUUAUGGUGGACUUGAUCGGAUUUGGGCUUGGAUUUUGGGUUUUUUAUUUGUGGACUUGAUUUGGGUUUUAGGUUUUUAGGUUUUUUAUUUGUGGACUUGGUUCGAGUUUAGGUUUUAUUUGUAGACUUGGUUUGAGUUUUUUAAAUUUUAUUGCAAUUUGAUUUUUUUGGUCUAAAAGGAUUCUCUUUCCAAUUUUAUUGCAAUUCGAUUUUGGGUCCGAAGAAAUCUUCUUUUGAUUUUUGUAAUUUGAUUUGGGAUCCGAAGAAAUCCCCUUUUAAUUUUUAUUGCAAUUUUGAUUUGGGAUCCGAAGAAAUUCUCUUUUGAUUUUUAUUGCAAUUUUGAUUUGGAGUCCGAAGAAAUUCUCUUUUGAUUUUGUAAUUCAAUUUGGGGUCCGAAAAAAUUCCCUUUUGAUUUUGUAAUUUGAUUUGGGGUCCGAAGAAAUUUUCUUUUGAUUUGGCAGUUCGAUUUGUCUAUUCGGCCGGCGAAUUUAGUUCGAUAUUUUCAAAAGAGAUUGAAGGGUCCGAAGAAACGGAGAAUCUUUGAUUCCCCCCCUCUUUUUUCGAAAACACCGAACCGGCGAGGCUGGAGAUGACGGCGGUGAAGAUGAUGACGGUGGCGCGGAUCUGUUCGGCCGGCGAAUUUGGUUCGAUAUUUUUAAAAGAGAUUGAAGUGUCCGAAAAAACAGGAAAUCUUUGAUUCCCCUCACCUCUUCUUUCGAAAACACCAAAUUGGCAAGGCUGGAUAUGAUCACGGCAAUAUAGAUCACCCAUUCCAUCAAUUAACGGCUUCGAAUGGAGUAUCGAGAGAUUCGAAGAAACGGAAAGCCAUUGGCUCCCCUCCACUCUCCCAUCAAAGUCGUUUAGAUGGUAUGGAUGACUACGGUAGCAGGACCUAAACAAAAAAGAAAAAGGGAGAAAAAAAGAGAUUUUUUUUAUUUUUUGAUAUAUUUUAUUAUUAUUAUUAUUAUUAUUAUUAUUAUUAUUAUUAUUAUUUAUCUUUACCUGAUGAUCAGAUGACGGGCUGGAUGAAGCGGCACGACGGUGCGGCUCCGUAUCGCUAUCGUCUCUCUGUAUCUAUUUUUCUCUAUCUAUUUGUUCUCUCCUCUAUGUAUCCCCUUCCUCUUUUUUUAUUCUCAUAUUUAUAAUAGAAGGGGAGAUCUGAGGAAUCGGAGCGAUUCAUGGGUUAGGCGAGAGAUAUUUUGAGGAGUUGAUUAGGAAUUCGAAAUUCGAAAUUGAAUUUUGAAUCGAUUGUUGGAGGGAUAAAUAUUUGAAAUUCGAAUGAAUAUGGUUGAUUGGGAGAUAUUUUGAGAGUUGGUUGGAGGGAUAGAUAUUUGAAAUUAGAAUGAAUGUGGUUGGUUGGGAGAUAUUUUGGGAGUUGGUUGGUUAGUUGGGAGAUAUUUUGGAAAUUGGUUGUGAUUGGUUGAAAGCUAUUUUGGGAGUUAGUUGUGAUUAGUUAGGAGAUAUUUUGGGAGUUGGUUGUGUUUUAUUAAGAGAUUUUUUGGGUGUUGGUUGAGAAUUUGAAAUCGAAUUUCGAAUAGGAUUGUCAGGAUAAUAGAUAUUUUCUAGGGUGUGGAUAUAGGUCGUCAUUGAUUGAGCCCACUUUAAUAAAAUUUGUUGAGCACAAAUAAUAAUAUUCAUUGGGCUGAAAUGAGACCCGAAUUAUUGCAUAGGCUUAAAAUUUUAACGGGCCUUCAUGAGACCCACCAACUCGCAUUCAUGAAUGGAUCUAUUGCGAAUUUAAAUUAUGAUUAUUGCCCCCAAAAUUUUAUGAUCAACAUGAAACCUAUUAGAAUUGUAUGAAUCCGAAUUUAAUCGAUUUUAAUUAUGAUUAGGGUUACUUUACUCCUUUUUCUUUUCUUUUCUUUUUUUUUACUUCAAACAGUAUCAAAUAAAUCCGUCCCAUUCAUGUUCGGAUUUGGAUUCAAUUAAAAUUUCGAGUAUCCGUACCCAUUGACAUUUCUAUCCAAGAAUGCCAUUCAUGAUUUUUAGUAGAAUAGUAUAUUUUAUUUACUAUAUGAUUUAUUUUAUUUUAAAAAAUUGAGGUGAAGGCUAAAUAUUUAAUUCAAAACAAAUAAUCACAGUUCUCAUAUAUUAAUAUUAUAAAAUUUUUAAGUAAAGUAACAAAAUAUUUAUUUUUUAGCAUAGUGUUGGAUUUGUUGUAAUUUGUUCUCUUUUUUUCCGGGAAUAUAAAUUAAAGAAAAUUAAUAAUAAUUAGCUUGAAAUGUAAGGAGACCCCCUCAACAAAAGGUUAUUUUGAAGUCACUCCUAAAACUACAAUUGUUUUGAUCGGCUACCAUAACUUUUUUAUUUUUAAGAAACGAGUAAUUUUAGUCAAAUAAAUUAAAAAUUUUAUCAAAUCCAUCGAUGACUCUUUCUAAUUAAUAGUUUUGAUUGCAUUUUCGCAAAUAAAGCUGAAACAAUUAAUAGCUAAUAUGUAAUAGAGCUAUAAAAUUUAAUUUUUUAAACUUGCAUAAGUAUAAUUCAAUUUUUUUUAAAAAAAAUUAGAAACAAAGCAAUGUCAAUAAAAAAUAAAGUUAAGGGGCAUUUCUUUCUGUAAAUUUUGAAAUUAUUAUAAAUAUAAUUUCCAAACUUUAAAAUUGCAAAUGGAGAUAGAAACUAAUCUUUGGAGAAGUUAAAUGACCAAUUUACCCUUGUAAAAGUCUCCUCCAAAAAUUUCAUGCGCUUAUACUUAAGAAAAAAAAUGUAUCGAGACCCCUCAACUAUAGCGAUUUUUGGAAUGGCACCUAGCAACUUCAAUAUUUUUUAGGGAUUAAAUGCAUACUGAUUCCUGCAAAUAUAGUGAAUUGCAAAUAUAUACAUAUAAAGUUCAAUUUUCAUAUGUUGUCCCUUCAAAAGUUCUAAUAUUUUUAAAUAUGUCCCUCUAAUACGUUACUGUUAAAAAAUCGUUAAAGAACUGUUUAUAUUUUCAAUUUUGACAUCAUAAUAUGUCACUCUAAAAGUCACAAUAAUAUAAUAUAAGAGGGAUAAAAAUAUCAAAAACUAAUCAGGAUUAAGUAUGUAAUACAACGGUAAAGAUAUAUUUGAAAACAUUAAAAGACUAUUAUACGGACAAUAUAUAAAAAUUAAACUUUAUAUGGAUAUUUUUAUAAUUUACUAUAUAUAUAGGGACCUACAUGCAAUUAACCUUAUUUUUAAUCGACACUCUUUUAACUUUUAAGUUUUACAAUGAACUAGUCUUUUUUUUUUUUCUGUUAAAAAGUUUGUUUAACUUUACUAACUUUUCAGCUGUUAACAUUUAAUUAUUUUAAUUCCAUUGGGUAAGAAUAAUAAAAUUAUUAAAUUUGGUAAAUUUAUUGAUGGACUUGAUAAACAAGCCAAUUUAUUUGACUAAAAUUAUUAAUUUUUAAAAAAUAAUAGUUAAAAGGUUUUAAUAAAAAAAAAAGUUAGAGUUAAGGGGCUAUUUCAAAAUAAAUAGAUGGUAGCAUUUUCCCUCAGAAAAAAAAUGUAUGGAACUUUUUUGAACUAUGAAUUAUUUUAAUUUGACUAUUUAAUUUUUUAAAAAUUUUGAUUUUACUAUUCAAUCUUUCAAUUUUUCGGAUUUGAGUCCAUUAACGACACUUUAACUUCAAAAUUUAAAUGUAUCGUUUUUUUUUACAGAUUUAGUUAGUAUAUUUCAUGCAAUUCUCGGACUAUAAAUUAAUUAAAAUAAGUAAUUAAUUUAAAUUUUAAAGUAAAAGUACCCUUACUAACUCAAAUCAAAUAAAUUGAAUGGUUGGAUAGUAAAAUUAAAAAUUUUAAAGAUUAGAUAAGUAAUGUAUGAUUUUACUUUUUUAUUUUUGUAUUAUUUUUAAAAAUGUUUCGAGACCUUUCGAAUUUUAGCACUUUUGCAAACAUGUCUCCAAAUUUUUAUAUUGGUGACUAGAAUUUCUAAACGUUAUAGUGGGAGAUAGGAUUAGGCUGUUUCAUGGUCGAAGUGGUGUGAGGUUGGUUGAGCUAAACUUUAACACUUUCGUGGCGGUAGGCCAGGUUAGGCAGAUUCAUGUUUGAAGUGGCGUGAGACUGUUUGGACCGAGUGUGUCUGUAUACUUAAAGGGAAUUGGCUGGUUAUUUUCAAUAGUUCGAGCUUUUGAAAUUGAUAGUUUAUGCCAACGAUCUGACACUUUUUAAGUACUGCAAAUUAUUCACCACUUUAUUUAAAAUAUUAUAACUGUUUGAGGUGCUCAUAAAAGCAGUGGACUGUUUACCAUAUUUAUCGGAUUCAAACUUAGAAUAUAGAUACUUAUGUGAAUACGAUUAAUAUUUUACCGCUUUCGAAUCUAAUAUGUUUAAGCCGACGCAACACAAAUGGAUCUAAUAUAAGUAAAGCUGCAGAGAUAAGUGGGCCUAAUUUUAGAAAUAAAAAUAUCAUAGGCUCAUAUUUAGCCUAUUGAUAAUUAAAAAUCUCUAAUGAUCUAACUGACACUAUUAGAUAAAAUAAAAUUGAGAUAAAAAUAUAUAUGAAUAUGCUUUUGUAUUUUCUGGUGGAACUGUAACAAAUAUAUUAUAACCGACUUAUCGUGAUAAUAUUACGUACGAAAAUAAACAGAAUAUUUGUCCAUCAUACUUUCUCACGGUAUGUAACGCAAUCUUCCUGCAAUUCCAAACGAAGCAUUGCUUACCAAAAGUUCCCAUUUUAGAGGGCCUUUCAAUGUAAUUAGUCGAUUAUUCAUGGACUUGGUCGCAAAUAAAUACACACUUUUGCCCGUUGGAGGGCUAGUGAAAGAGGGGCGCUCCCUCCGAGCCCAAGUCCACACCUCGCCCCCGCCGCCGCCGACGCCGACGACGCCGCCGCCGCUCCGCCGCCGCAAAUGGCUUCGCUUCUCCACCUCCCCGCCGACGACUCCGUCCUCCUCGUCGUCACCCAUUCCAACAUCAAGAGCUUCUCGCCCGAGAUCCGCUUCUCGCUCCAAGUACUACUCUCUAUAUCUCUCUAGAUCUCUCCUGAAUCUCAUCGAUCGGUUCCUUAAUGGCGGCGAUCCCGAUCGCAGAUGAGCGUGGAGGCGGUGAAGGAGAAGCUGUGGAGGAAGUGCGGGACCGCCGUGGAAUCCAUGCUCCUCGAGCUCCACGACGACGCAGGAUCCAAAAUCGCCGACCUGAGCGAUAAUCUGAGGCCGCUAGGGUUCUACUCCCCGCAGGAUCGGUUCGUCUCCUCCCCUCUUCUCGCGAGAUAUGUGUGCUUGAUCGAUUCCCUCUUGUUUGAUUUGUUAGGGUUUCUUUUUGGUAGAAAUAUCAAGAACUUGUAUAAACUAUGAUCUAUUUUGAUCUGGAGAUCUAACUUUUGAAAGUUUUGAUUUUUGCUGCCUAACAUUCAAUUCAUUUGAUUUGUUUGAUGACACUUGCACUUCAGAAUUUGAUUCCCGUUUGUUUUAAUGGGCUUGAUUAGAGCAUCUAGUGCUAUACACCUGACUACAUUCCCAAUAAAGCAAAAAAAAAGGGCAUCCAAAUUUAGUAACAAAGAGUCGUUGAACGAUUCAAAUCAAACAAAUUGAAAAAUUAGGUAGUCAGGUUAAAAUGCGUUAUAAUUCAGGUAAGUUUCAUUUUUACACUCUUUUUACCACAUAUAUGCAUGGUUGUUGUGUUCUUUUAUGCAAAUGUAUAUUGGCUAAUGUAGAUUGUCUUGAACUCGUUCGCCACGUUGUGGGAUUGGGACUUUAGAAAAAUAGCCUGCACAUAUAUCUUUCAAAUCAAGUAGGGUUGUAAUUAAGUUAGUACAGGAAGAGAAUUUGAAAAGUGGAAACAAUAUUAAAGAUUAAAGAGCUGCGGAAAGUUGGUAGAUGAGGAUAUGCACCGGCAAUUUUACUGACUUGGGAAAAAUUAUUUUCUGUUGCUAAAACAUUAGUACGAUUCUUUGAUGGGCUUUAGAAGUAAUAGAAUCACUCAAGUAAAUUGCUAUCUGUAAUAAAAGGUAGAAAAGCAUGGACCUUACCUAAUACUAGGCCAUAUAUUUUAUUUUCGCCGCAUUUACUGUUGCAGUUUAAUUCUCUUUUUUUUUUUUUCCACUUGAUUGGAUUUUUCUUAUAUAAUCCGAAGGUACCGGCUGCAUAUUAUAGAUCUGGAUCCUUCAUCUGUGACCUCUGGCGGCUGGUUAGAAGACACAUCACUCGUCGAAAAAUAUACAAUAUCAGAGGAAGCAUACAGUAAACUUGAUUGUAAGUUUCUCAACCAUAUUUUUGUGCACUAGUCAUUAUUAGUGAUCGAUUGAGGCCUGUAUACUGUCUCUGCUUCGAAUUGAAGAGGGCAGCGGGUGUUGGUAUUUCUAGUCAAUUUCUAUAAUUUCCCUGAAUAUGGAUAACCAUCCUUUCUUUUCCUGUAAACUUCUUCCAUCUUUGACAAUAGUGACAUGUUCAUGUUUGUGUGUGUGUGUGUGUGUGUGUGUGUGUGUGUGUGUGUGUGUGUGUUCAUUUUCCAGCAAAUUUCCGGAAAUUUAAGGAGAAGAUGAUUUCUCAGAAUCCUACCCAUGACAAAAAGGUAAGCAUGGGUGGCACUUAGGUGUUUUUACUUUAUAGUAGUGUAGGUUUCAAUGCUGAUUGUAGAGUAGGUAACAUGCUAGCUAUUAUUGUCCUGUUCGGUCCUUGAUCUAAUCACACUUAACACCAGUUUCUAGAGACUUAUGGUUUAUUCUAGCUGUUUUCCCUUUUUGGUCUUCUCCAUUGCACAUCAUGGAGGUCUGGAUCUCCCCGUCCCCUCUCUCUGUGUGUGCACAUGCGCCCGCAUACAUGGGCACAUAUGUGCAUGUUAUGUUAGGGCACCCUACAGCUGACAAAAGUUCAUUUUUGUCACUUGAACUUGUUUAUGAGCCACUGAUUUAUUAGCUAUGGGCAUGUACCUUUGAGCAAACUGUCUUUUGGGAGCUUCCUAUAAAAUUAACAAGGGGUUGGAUGCCCUUCAUCUAACUUGAGCUUCCAGUGCAAAGAAGAAAAAGAUCUUAAACCAAGAAAAGGUACCACUAAAUAAACAGUAGGGGCUGUAAGACCUCAUGUAAAGCCCUUCUUACAAGAUCUUCUCUAAGUUGCUCCUCAUAGAAUUUUCACACGAUGCCUAUUGCUAACUGUAAUAUUUUUGUCCUUCAGCUGGCAGACAACUACAUGGAAGAGUUGUGUGCCAAUAUCAAGGUUAGUAUAUAAUUUUUGUUUCUUCGGCUGUAUCAAUUUUGCAGACAAACAAAAGCUCCUCAAUGUUCUUCUUUUUUCCCAUUUCCAUGGCUCUAACUGCAUCCGAGGUGUUGCACAUUCAAGCGUCAUAGAGUUUACCCUAUGAUGGAUUUGUUUUUUCUGAGUAUAUUGAGUUACCUUUCCAUAGAAGAGUAAUACUUCUCUUUUUGAAAUUUAAUGUGAGCAAACAUUUUGCAUGUGAUAGAAUAGGGAGUAUGUUCCUUCUUCUCUAUACAUAUUAGCUUUACUUCUCCUUUAUGUUUUUACAAGAAAAUGUUUUUUUUGCUAAGAUAUUUCCUGAUUUAGGUGGGUGAUAGAUGUGAAGUUGAACCAGGUGCAAAGAGGGGAGUUGUCAAGUUUGUUGGAAAAGCAGAGGCACUAGGACCUGGAUUUUGGGUUGGUAUUCAGUACGACGAGCCUCUGGGAAAGCAUGAUGGCAUGUAUGUGGCUUACGCUGUGUCGAAGCAUUGUUAUGUUUCAUUGUUGCAUGUUUUCACCUAGGAUACAUAGUGCAAAGUGAAAAAUGAUGGCAAUUUAAGGUCUUCCUAUUAUGAUAUGGAAUUAGGAAAGAAGAUGAACUUUCUUUUCUGAUGAAAAUAUAACUAGUUUAGACUGUAGUCUGACUGUUUCCAUGUUCAAGUACUCUCUUCUUAUUAGACAUACUAAAGCUGCAAGUCCUACUACUAUAAUAAUUGCAACUGCCUCUAACAUGAAUAAGAAAAAUAAAAACCCUCUCGUAGGUUUCGAUGAAACUAUUCUUUCACAGUCAUUUAUAGAGUUGUUAUAUAAUUGUCUUGGUUUCUAAAUUUCUAAUUUGACAUGUACAAGUUUAAAAUUUGAUCUACCUUUUCCUGAAUCUUGCUUAUGUAGAUAUUCUGUGCCGUUUGGUUGAUUGCAUGUAGCUGACACACGAACUCAUGUAGAUUUGCAAUAGUCCAACUUGGUACCUUUUACGUGAAUAAAAUGUUAUAGUCAUAGUUCUAUGUGAUUAAUAGAUAGUAUCACUAGUCCAACUAUAUUCUCCAUCAACUUAUGUUAACCUGUGUUAUUACUAGCUCUAAAGAAUAUUUAUCUCACUCAAACCCGAGGGAAGAAGGGGAGAAAAAAAAAAACUCAAGUCGUAAUUUCUUACUUGUUGCGUUUCAUUUUCACUCUCUUGCAUUUGGUAACCCAUGAUUGUAGUUUUCUCUACUUUUUAUGUUUUAUUUUCUCUAAAUGUGUGUAUAUAUAUUUUUUCAAUCAUGAGCCAGAAUAUAAUUCCGAAUACUCAGUUUCUCUCUUAGAGAAACAUAUCUCAUCCUCCUUGUUUAGAUCUUGUGUCUAUUUCAAGCUUUUUUGGUGAGAUAACUAAAUAAUCUCAAUACCUUGUGAUGGAUGUUAACAUCGUCUUAUUGUAAGAAUGGACUCUACCUAUCUUCCACUCAGCCUUUACGAAUGCCACAAACAAAUUAAACCCCGCUUACUCCUGUCAUUUCUAGUAAUCUUUCUGAAUAUCCUACACUUCUUGAUAUUUUUGCUGCACCUUCUGAGCACUCUCUGUUGCACUAGAUUCAAUUUUAACAAGAUGGUCCUGAAUAUAUAAUUAUCGAAAGACUCUAUUCUUUACCUUUUAUUAGUAUUAUUUAGCUAAUAUUCUUUUUUGGUUUUCCGUAGGGUGAAAGGUAUUCGCUUUUUUGAAUGCCCACCGGGACAUGGCGCUGUCGUUAGGCCCGACAAAGUCAAGGUAUCAUGACUAUUCGACAAUGCAUACUUUAGUUGCCGAUUAUGUUUCGGAGCUUUACAUUUUGACACAAAACAUACUGUAAUUAGGUUGUUGAAAUAGGUUUUACUCUUUAAAUUAAUUUAGUAUCGAAUAAAUUGAAAUUAAAAUGGAAGUGUGGAAUCUACUUCUGACAAGUAUUUCAUCUGCAGGUUGGGGACUUUCCUGAGAGAGACCCAUUUGAAGAGGAAGAAGAGAUAUAACAAAUAUUGAAGUGUACAUAAGAUAAUUUUCUUCUUGCUGACAUUAAUGCAAAUUUCUGUGCUUUGUUUUGCAUUUACGAUCCUUUUUCUGAUUCGAAUUGUACUUCCAUUUUGUUGUAACCAAAUAUGAUCGACUUGCGCUGGAUUCGAAGAACUGCUUUGUAAUUUUAAACUAUUUAUCGGUUCUUGUUUUGAAUCUUAUGUAGUCACAUUUAAACUGGUCAUAGUUCAGAUACGUUUCAUAAGUUUUUGGGCAAUGCUACUAUGAACUAUUUUGAAUCGAUUAUUUAAUUUUUUGAAAUUUUGAUUUUUUAAAUUUGUUUGAUCUGAGUCGGUCAACGGUGCUUUUAUUUCAAAAUUUAAACAAAUUAUUUCUGUUGAUAAAUUGUAAGUAGUAUACCAACUAAAUCUAUAAAGAUAAACGAUAUAUUCAAAUUUGAAAGUUAAGAUUUAGUGAUUGACUCAAAUUUGAAAUUUGGGGAAUUUGGAUUGCGAAAUCAAAAUAGUCCGUGAUUUAGGUGAAGUUUUGUAAUGAGGGGAAAAAAAAACUUUAAUUUGCCCUGCAUUAUUUACUGUGUUGUUACUUCACUACAUUCCAGGUUAAACAGUUUUACUUUGUUGUCCUAUAAUUUUCUCUUUGUAUUACUAAGAUAGUAUAUUGAAACUAAAAUUUAUAAACAGGACUAAAAUUAAAUUAUAAUGUUUCUAAACAGGAUUAAAAUUAAUUUUAAAGCUAAAAUCUGUAAACGAGACUCAAAUUAAAUUAAAAAGGAAACAGGAUUAAAAUUCAAUAAUAAAGUUAAAAAUCAUAAACAGGAUUAAAAUUAAGGGUAACUUCAAAUACCAAUCAUGUGGUUUCACGCUUUCUCGCUUUAAUAUCCUGUGGUUUAAAGUGUAUCAAUUUAGUAAUAUGUGAUUUUAUUAUUUUUUUUUUGUCAGCUCUUUCGUUAACACUUCAUUAGAUUAUAUACAAAAAACUUCAAAUAUCUCAUCUAGAUUUCUCGAGUAUUUACUUGAGUACCUUUUAGUUUUAACUUUAUCACAAUUUUAAGAAAAAAAAAAUAGUAGAGGGGAUAAUAAAAAGAGAAAAAUAAAAUCAUGAGGUACUAAAUUGAUACAUUUUAAACCACAUGGUACUAAAAUAAAAAAGAACAAAACCACAGGGAUGGUAUUUGAAGUUUUUUCUAAAAUUAAUUAGAAAGGUAAAAUUUAUUAACAGGAUUAAAUUUAAAUUAAACAAGGAAACACUAAAUUUUACCUUGCGUUCUUAAGAUAGGAUACUAAAAUACUAAAAUUUAUAAACAGGAUUAAAAUUAAUUGUAAAGUUAAAAUUUAUUAACAGGACUAAAUUUAAAUUAAACAAGGAAACACUAAAGUUAAAACUUUCAUUGUGUUGCUAAGAUCGGAUACUAAAAUACUAAAAUUUAUAAACAGGAUUAAUGUUAAAUCAUAAAGUUAAAAUCCAUAAAGAGGAUUAAAAUUAAUUAUAAAGCUAAAAUUAAUUAAUAAGACUAAAUUUAAAUUAAAAAUAGAAACGAGCUCUUAUCAUAAAGUUAAAAAUCCAUAAACAGGAUUAAAAUUAAUUAUAAAGCUAAAAUAAUUAAUUAAUAGGACUAAAUUUAAAUUAAAAAUCACUAAAAUUUAUUAAUAGGAAUAGAUUUAAAUUAAAAAUAGAAACACGCCCGGUGGGACUCGAACCCACAAUCGCCUGAUUAGAAGUCAGACGCCUUAUCCAUUAGGCCACGGGCGCUCUUCGGAUUAAAAAUUAUAACAAAAUAUAUUUAUAUGUUAUUAAAUUAAAAUGUCAUUUAUUAAUAAAAUUGAAUAUAACCUACAAUGAUGUAGAUAAUAAUUAAGACUAAAAAAUAUAUGUUAGAGCAUCAAUAUUUAUGUAAUUUCAGUAUUGAUAAAUGAUGAUGAUCAUUAUAUAUGAUUCAACCGCGUAGUAACAUUUGAAUGUAAUGGCAAUUUAACAAUUUUAGCGUGGAAUUUAUGGGGAUAAUUUCCGCGUAUGAUUAAUUUAAAAGUCCCCCCCCCCCCUUUCUUUUUAUGUAAUAUUUAAAAGAUUCGUUGGUGUUGCAUUCAAUCAUGUGAAUGAAGGAACGCAUAAUAACAAGUAUGACUUCUUUAUAAUAAAAGUUAUAAUAAUAUUUGUGGCUAAGUGGAGUUUGUCAUUAUUAUUUUUAUAGCAAAUUUAACUAUCUGCCUUUCUUUUUUAUUUUAAUGGGGCUUCAUUUGUGUUUUAGAAAUGAACCCAGAACUUAGAAUUUUAGAUACUAAUCAUCAAAUUUUUAAACAAGUGCGUUAGGUACCGUUAGUAAAUGAAUUUGAUUGUCAACUAAAGUGGAGGUGAGAAUGUCAGAUUGAAUAACACAUAUUAGGAUUUCAAAAAAUAUAGAAUCUAAAUUUACUAUAAAUAAAAGUAUGUUUUUUUAAAAAAAAGCGGAUUGGUUGAUAUGGUAUAUUUUAUCAUUUCUCACCUAUUAAAUUUAAAUGUAAUUCUAAUCAGACCUUGAUAGUAAAUCGAUCUGAAUUCUAAAUAAAGAGAUAUUAGUCCCGCCAUCUUCUCAUAAUCUGAUAUAAUCUCUCCAUCAUAUAUUUUUCAGUUAGAAUUUGUUUGACCCUACUUUUUCAAGUGCAUGUUUUGAAGCAAGACAAGUAAUUAAGCUUGUUUUAAUAGGUUUCUGGAAGCUACUUUGCAGAGCUCAAGCUUCCUGCAAAAGCUCCCCCCAGUGCUAAAUUGGGCAGUCGGGCACAACUCACAAGUGCUGCUAAACAUGGUAUCGGCCACAUAAUUUGGCCUAGUACAUAUUUCAGAAAACAGAAGCUUUAAAUCUGAACUUUAACUUCUACAUUUUCAUAUUUAUAAUUAAAUUUUAUAUAUAUAUAUAUAUAUAGGUAGUUUAUAGUAGUAGGUAACGUAUUAGUAUAAUAUAUAUAUAGCAGGGUUUUACUAGUUAAGCCAGCAGCAUCCUUAUGCUUCCUAAUUUUUCUAAUACCCAGCAAAUUUUGAUAGAUGGUUAAAUGGAGCAGGAGAGGGAGAGAUGGAGGGAGAUAUGGGAGAAUUUGAAUGGUUUCAAUUUCUUUUCUCCUUGGGAAUUUAGAUCCAAUAUCUCCUCCUUCUCUCAUUCUAAUUCCACCCAUCAAACCUUAAUGAAUGCGUUAGAAAAUUUAGGAGCAUAAGCGCCUCGCCAUCUCCUAAUCAGGCACAAUAGCCCCUACUUUUAUCAUAUAUAGAGAUAUAGUAUAUAUACUGCUACUAGCUGAUCAGAUAGUUACCAAACCUUGUACUAUUGAUUUUCGGCCGUUGGAUGAAAUGCAUGUGCGGUUUAGGAUGAUAGUGGUCCCUAGUUAAAGAGUUGAUAGGUGGCUCCCCCGUAGGGUUGAGGUGGGUGUUUGUUUAAUCAGGUACUAAUCUAACGGGUGGAAAUAAUCAAAGGGUAGACUCUAACGGAUAGAAACUCAAUAAGUACCAAAGGGGCGGUUGGUACUAUCGAUUAAGUAUAGGUAAGGGACUAUAUUAUAUAUAUAUAUAGAUUCAGCUGAAAAUAACUCUUGUGAAUAGUAAAACGCUGCUUUUUGCUUGGCUAUAGUUUUUACCUUGAUGGAAAAAUUGUGCUAGGGGUUAAGGAAUAAAUAUUAGUCGGUUAAGGGAGGUCUGAGUGGGAGCAACUAGGCGUUAUGGAAGUGCGUCAAUGAACCCACUGGGUGGUAUAGAUAUUCUAUCCAAUGCAUUAGAAACAAUUAAAAAGAGCUUGAUCCAGAAGGUAAAAAAAUUGUAGCCAACAGUGAGGAUUUUUGGCUACUAAUAGUAGCCCAGUCCACAGUCUCUCUCGUCUCUCUCUCUCUCUCUCUCUCUCUCUCUCUCGUCUAUUAUAAUGGUAUAUAAGUAGUAGACUAAUAAUUAUAUAUAUAGUAAUUAUAUAAUAUUAUCGCGUAGUAACAAGUCGUUCUUACUACCAGAUUUUGUUUUUCGAGGAUAGAGGGGCUUGCUAAAUUGACGAUUCGGCUUCCGUUAAAUAAUGAUCUAAACCAUUUAAACAAAUACCUAGAAAUCAAAUAUUCACGCACUUGAUCAGAUAUUGUUCUUUAUUCCAAUCAACGUGAAUAAAAAAACGAUGGAAAUGGCCUGAAAAGAUAAAUACUCUUAUAAAAAGUAAAAAAUGAUGAGUAGAGAGUCUUGCAAUCAAGAUCAAGAAGUAUAGAAUCUUAAGUUUAAAAGAAUAUUUCUAAACAAAAAUAUCAAUUGAUUCUGGUAUACUUUACAGCAACUACAAACAAAAUGGUCAUAUUAGCGACACUUUGUGAAUAUAGGUACAUGCAAAAAAAGUGACUUAGGCUAAAAUUACCGACACUUUUAAAAAGUGUUACUGAUAUGGUUGGGCGAUCCUAGGGAGGUAUAUAGUGCAGUUACUAGAGCGUCGCUAUAAGCUAAAAGAGUGCUAGGCCUAAUUUGACGCAACACUUAUUAAGCAUUUAGCAACCGCCGAACUCAUAUCUCGAUUGGAUACGGUGGCGCGCGCAGGGAAGAGCGACGACACCAGAAAGGCCUCGUGUAAACGUCUAGAAUUUCAGUGAAGUAGAGCCUGAAGAGAGAAGAAAGAAUGGGUAAAUUGAUUUUUCUGUUUUUUUUUUUCUCUUUUCUCUUUAAAGAUAAUCGGAACCAAAUUGUUGACUCGGUUGUGUGCGUUGAGUUGAGUAGAGGUAAUCUUUUAUUUUUAGUUGGAUUGGGCUUUUAUUUAGGCAUUGUAGAUAUUUUUUUAAGUUUUAGGAUAAAUGGGCACGUUACUCAAAAAGCUGUCCGCAAACAUGGUUGCUCCCUAUAACCUAAUUCUGUUGUAGGGACGCCGGGUUGGGCAGUUAACAAAGAAAACGGCCUCUUACGACUAUUAAAAUUCAAUUUUUGAAACCUUUGAUCAUUAGGCAAUGGAUUGUCGGAAAGAUUAAAAUUUGAUUCUUUUCAAACACUUCAAGUGUCAUUAGAUCAUGUUCAACGGACCGAUCGUCAAUUUGGACAGCCCUAUCAUCGAAAACAAAUCGGUUAGUAAUGAACGCGUUCGUUUACUAGCCGAUUGUAUUCUAGUCAGAGUUGAGCUAGGAAUACUAUCGCGUAGUAACGGAGCCGUUUACCUCACCGAUUUGCUUCGAUGAUAGAGCUUCCAAAUUGACGAUCGGCUCCGUUAAAUAUGAUCUAAACUAUUUAAACUACCUAGAAAUUAAAUUUCACGCACUUUUGAUAUUGUUCUUUUAUUCAUCAAGUGAACAAAAAAAUGAAUGGCUGAAAAUAAAUACUCUUUAAAAAAUGAUGAUAGGAGUCUUGCAAUCAAGAUCAAGAGUAUAGAUCUUAAGUUUAAAAAAUUUUCUAAUAAAAAUUCAAUUGAUUUGGAUAUCUUUACGCCGUUAAACAAGAAAACGCCUCUUAUCGACUAUUAAAAUUACAAAUUUUGAAACCCUUUGAUCAUUAGGCAAAUGAUGUCGAAAAGAUUUAAAAUUUGAUUUCUAAACACUUCAAGUGGUAUAGAUCAUGUUCAACGGAGCCGAUUGUCAAUUUGAAAGUUCUAUCAUCAAAAACAAAUCGGUAGUAAAACGACUCGUUUACUACCGAUAGUAUUCUAGCUCAACUAUAUAUAUAUAUAAUAGCAAAAUAUGCUAAAAAUAUAUAUAUUCAUAAUAGCAAAAUAUGCUAAAAAUAUGCUAAACUUUUCAUUAUUGAAUUUCAAGAUUUUAGUUUUUUCUCAAGCGUUUUUUUUAUUCUUUUUCUACCCAAUUUACCAACCAACACAACAAAGCCAAUAAACAUAAAUAAAUAAAUAAAAGCAUCAUUAAUUUCAUCAUUGCCAUAACUAACAAUAUUAAUUAUUACUCAUAACCAUAUCAUGAUAUAGUAAUAUAAUAAUAAUAAUAAUAAUUGAACCUCAAAAGGAACUCAACCAGAGAUCACACAACAAACACUCUCCAAUUCUCCACCAUCGAUCUCAAUUAGAACCCCCCUCAACAAAAAGGAGAAAAGCAUAAAACAAAAACCAAAAAAAAAAAAGAGAAAAAAACAAAUGAAAAACUAAAACAUGCAUAUAUGCACCAUAUAUCAUCAUCCCCAGGCAACGUUAUACACACGUACGUAUUGUGUGUGUACGCAUGUAUGUAGAUUGAUCAGUACGUACGUACGUAGAAUUGUGAUUAAUGACUAGGCCGUGAGCUCUUCCUCCUUGUGGGUCUCGAUGACGAGGUCGGAGCGGGGGUAGGCGACGCAGGUGAGGACGUAGCCGGCGGCGAUCUGGUCGUCGUCGAGGAAGCUGCCGUCGGACUGGUCGAUCUCGCAGGACGAGCAGGAGCCGGCGCGGCAGGAGUAGGGCAGAUCGAUCCCCUGCUCCUCCACCGUGUCCAGGAUGUACACGUCCUCCGGGCAGCUCACCUCCACCUCCCCCGUCGGCGUUAUCAGCUUCACCUUGUACGCCAUCGCCGUCAUCCGUCCCCCCCGCCGCACUCCCACUCCCACUCCCACUCCCGCUCCCGCUCCCGCCCCGCCAAACAGACCGCCGCCACCCCCCGCCCUGCGGGGGAACGCGACGGUACUGCGCGGGGCAAACAAGGGCGUGGCCGUGGGCGGCGACGACAGAGCUGCUAUGGUAGCGGUGGCGGCCGCCAUUGAAUUGUUUAGACUUGGUGGUGGAGAAUGUGGAGGAGUGUGGAGAGGGAGAGAUAAGAGGAGGGCGGGGUAGGAUAUAAGAUGAGGGGGUGGAGGGUGGGGAGGGGUGACACGUGGAGGGAGAUGAGUGGGUGGGUUAUCCUGCGUUAGGGGAUAGGGGGAGUGAGCACGUCCACACGAUGGUUGAUGGGUGGUGAUUAGCGAUUGGUGAUCGGGGGAAGAGGGAGAGAUAGGGGGAGGAGAUCACGUGCAUCUGUUUUGGGUUGGAGGGUGGGAGAUCCGGUUUGAAUUUGUGGUUCGGAUUGAAGCUCAUUUUGUUCUCUCACCCAUUUUAGACUUAAAUAAGUGCUCAAAAGUCGGAAGUACUAGUUUCUUUAUAUUUUCAAUAAUAAAGCAGCUUUAUACACACACACACACGUAUAGAAUUGAGCUCCUAUACUUUUAGGCCAUGUUUGGUAAUAGGAUAAUUUCUUCGGGGUUAAAUUUUUUUAUUCCUAGAAUAUUGAGAUAUUCUAGGAUAGAGAGGAAUGAAAGUAAUUUUUUGUUUGGCAAAAUUUUUACUUAUUCUCUACAAUAGACAAAAUGAUGUUUGGUAACUUUCUUGAAAAAAGAGAAGAAUAAUUAGUAAAAUUGAUUGAAAUAUUUUAAAAUGCCAAGUUUGCCCUUAUAUAUACAGUGAAUUUUUUUCUUUGUAUAAUACAUAUACAAUACUUGAUAAAUUUGAAUAUAAUUUUUUCAAAUAUAAUUACAAUACAAAAAUUAUAAUUAAGAAAUAAUAAUUUUUUUGUGCAGAGCAGUGCAAUAUGCAGUAAGUAAGAUAAUUUUAAAUUAAUUUAUACAAUUAGAAAUCUAUAAUAACCAAUAAUAUAUGCAAUAGUAAUUAAUUUAUUUAACUGUCAAUAAAUUUACAUAGUUAAACAAAAAUCCUAAUAUAAAUUUACAUAGUUAAAUAAAAAUCCUAAUAUAAAUCUUAAUACAUUGAACAAACCAAAUCUCUAUAUGCUCAGAGAAGAUACGAGAGUUUUGAUAAGUGGGUAAAGUGGCGCGGUUUUCAAGGCAACCCAAAAAGAAGGCCGCUGCCUCUCGGGUUUCAGGAAUAAAUCUUAUUCCAUGGUUGGGAAAGAAUUAAAUUAACGGGUUAUUCUACUGAAAAUUGGAAUAGUCCGAUUUGACCAGUAUAAAUUGUUUUGGUACUUUUUUUUCGUUAGGCAGAAUAACGAGAAUAAAUUUGAUUAUUCUGUAGUUAUUCCGUUACCAAACGGAGCCUUUAAAAGCAUAAAGUCAUUGAUGCUUGUCAGUUUACAGCCUUUGGAUGAAGAUUUAUAGGGGUUAGGAUAACAGUGAUGACCUAUAGGGUUGAUAGGUGGCUGGUGGAAUAGCAUAAUCUAAGGAGCGGAGUUGGUCAAAGAAAUAAAUCUAACGGUAGAAAACUUAUAAGUACCAAAAGCUUGGUACUUUUAAAAAUGCCAUAGCUGGACUAUAUAGAGAGAGAGAGGGAGAGAGAGAGAGAGAGAGAGAGAGAGAGAGAGAUAUUAGAUAUUACUGUUUUUAGCAUUUGAAAUGCAAAUGAUGUCUAGGAUCUGGCCCAACUAAGAUUAACUGUAGAGCCCCACUAUCAAACUAGGCUCAUAAAAGUCCAGGCCCUGUUAUUGGCUUUUGUCCAUUCAGAUCCAACAAGGAAAAGCAUGGUCAUUUUGAAGUGGGCCUCAUCCUAGGUCUAAUACAUUUUUAACUUGUCCUAAAAAAACAAUUUUAAAGUGCUAAAUUUUGACCCAACCACAAUUUAAUGGGCUAGAGUAACAACAACACUAUGUAUCAAUUUGUUUCUUUUUUUUCAAAAUAAAAAUAAAAAUUGUUCCACCAAAAUUGUUCGGCUGGAUAAUUUAAAUUAUCGGAGAAGAAAGAAUUUUGAAGUUUAUUGAUUGUAAAGAAAAUUACAAUAGAUGAAAACAAAAGUAAUUUGGUUUGGAUUCUCUGCUUAGACUUGACCUUUCAAAGAACGCUACGUUCGGCCGUUUGGAACAAAUAGAACUAUAAAUCUUUGAGAACUUAUCAAUUCGGUCAAAAAUCUUAAUUAUGAUUGAAACCUUUGAAGAACUUGUCAAAGGAAAGAGUUAAAUCUAUUAACUACUUAAUCUGUUCUCCAACUAAAACUAGCAGAAACUACUGAAUGCUAAAACUACCUACACUCUCUAAACCUCUUUCUCGAACUCUUAAAUUUUUCUUGAAUGAAUGCAUCAAUCAGUAAUUCCUUUUACCCUCUCUCUUUAGGUAUAUAUAGCCUUUAUAAAUCGGACUCCGAGUCCUACAAAAUUUCAGUCAAAUUUUGAAAUCUUACUUUGCAGUUAUCUCUUUAUUUAUGAUGAAUGGCCGAGAUCGCUUGAUGCAAUGGUUUAGAUUUCUUCUUUCUUAUUCAAGUCUAUCUCAUCUUUUUUAAGUAUCAAAGGCUCAGAUCAAAAAUCGGGAAAGAUGUAACUCGUCCUAAACCCGCCCCUAUCCACCAAGCAAAUACAGCGGGAGACGAGAGACCCUUUUCUUUCUUUAAUCCGUCCCGAUCCGUCGAAAGUCUACCAAAAAUCUGCUCCAACCUUGAUUCACCCCGAAUAAAACAGUAAGUGAGAGCCAAAACUAGGAUUAAAAAUAAUUCGCUCAGAAUCUGCUCUGACUCGACAAGAAAUUUAGCAAAAAGUAAUUCAACGAAAAAUCCCUCCUGCACCCAGGAUCUAUCUUGUGCAUCUAACGCUAACAAACAAACUAGAUAUUGAAAAAACAAAGUAUGUAGAGAUAUGUAUUUAUGCUUUGCAAUGGAACCACAAAAAAUAUAUUAUCACCGAUUAAUUGCGAUAUAUGAAACACAAUAUUACUUAUGAAAAUAAAUAAAAAAUUAUUUAUUCAAGUAAAGUAAUCACCUCGUCAUACUAAACAAAGCCUUCUUAUUUCUCUAACAAUAACAAUAAAGAAAAGAAAAAACUUUAAAUAUCACUCCCUAUAUUUUCACGUUUUCUCACUUCAGUACUAUGUGAUUUAAAAUGUAUCUAUCCUAUAAUUUUAUUUUUCUCUUUCCGUUAUUCUCUAUAUUAAUUUUUUCGUUAAAUCAGUGACAAAAUUAAAACCAUAUAAUAUUACAGUACCAAUUCUGUAAACCAAAGAAUAAUAAGGUGAAUAUUUGAUAAAUUAUAGAUAGGGUAUCUGAACGAAAAGUUAACGGANAAAAAAAAAAAAAAAAAAAAAAAAAAAAAAAAAAAAAAAAAAAAAAAAAAAAAAAAAAAAAAAAAAAAAAAAAAAAAAAAAAAAAAAAAAAAAAAAAAAAAAAAAAAAAAAAAAAAAAAAAAAAAAAAAAAAAAAAAAAAAAAAAAAAAAAAAAAAAAAAAAAAAAAAAAAAAAAAAAAAAAAAAAAAAAAAAAAAAAAAAAAAAAAAAAAAAAAAAAAAAAAAAAAAAAAAAAAAAAAAAAAAAAAAAAAAAAAAAAAAAAAAAAAAAAAAAAAAAAAAAAAAAAAAAAAAAAAAAAAAAAAAAAAAAAAAAAAAAAAAAAAAAAAAAAAAAAAAAAAAAAAAAAAAAAAAAAAAAAAAAAAAAAAAAAAAAAAAAAAAAAAAAAAAAAAAAAAAAAAAAAAAAAAAAAAAAAAAAAAAAAAAAAAAAAAAAAAAAAAAAAAAAAAAAAAAAAAAAAAAAAAAAAAAAAAAAAAAAAAAAAAAAAAAAAAACUAUAGAAUACUAAAAUGAUAUAUUUUAAACUAUAAUUUUUUUUUUUUAGAGAAAGAUAGCAUACUAUCUGUUUCGUUUAUUUUUUGUAGAAAUAAACUCAGCUGGAAAUGUGAAUCAACUAGAAAUCGAAUUUGGGAUCUCGGGUACCAACCAUCGAACCUUUUGUCACUUGCGUGAGGAACGGUCGGUUAAAAAGUAUUAAAGUGAAAAAGUGCGAAAUUACAUAGAUGAUAUUUGAAGUUUACCCUAAUAAUAACAAUAAUAAUGAUAAUGAUAAUGAUAAUGAUAAUGGAGAUG